UCCUGGAGCUGGCCACUAGCUAGCUAGACUCAGUUGUCUCCCAACUGUAGUUGCCCUUCAAUACACAGUAUAAUAUAUACGAAUUAGCUGCCAAAAACAUAUAUAACUAGUGUACAUGUAAGGUUUGUCUUACUCUUAUGUUGUUACCUGCAAUAAUCCAAAAUAUCUGCAAUUUUAAUUGAAAAGAAUGCUUAAAAAUGCUAAUUUGCAAUGAUAAAGUUAAUCAAUUUGUUCAUGAGAAGUAUGUUUGUCAUUGAAAUACGAUAAAUUAUCUUUGAUGGAAGAUAGUUUCCACAACACCAAGUUCCGAAGAAACUGUUGAAGUCAAACCGACUUUAAGUCGGUAAAGCAUGGAAAGAAGAUUGGUUCUAAGUCGGUGUAGCGGUGGAGCUUAUAAAAAAUUGUUCGAGUAUGGCGGCAAAGGGAGCAUCUAAGUCCGUUAAUUUAGGCUAUAAAUGUAGUGCAUGUACGGUGAGAAAUAGAAGUGUGUAAUGGAGAAAAAGAAAGUGUUUAUAUAUUUAUGUUGUUUUCUAGUAAGUUACUUCCUUGAGUAAUAAACUUAUUUUGGUUUCAGUGUUCACUAUGCAUCCAAUAAAUGGUAUAGAAGUUUAGUUUGAGGCCAUGUUAUGAUGACGAAAGUAAUUCAACUGCACAUUUUGAAAUUAAUGAAGAUAGGUUAUGAUAACUGGAGCCUCCAAAUCAAAGAUAUAUUUGGCUCUCACUCAAGAUUGCUGGAAUAUUAUAAAAAAGAAUAUGUUGAGCCUGAAAAUGCAGCUGUUGAAGCGGUUUGAGAAGUGAAGAGAAAUGGGUACUAAAGGAAGCUCGCAAAAAAGAUAACAAGGUUUCAAGGAGUUGACGACUUUAACUUUUGAAAAAAAAUUUGGAUGCGAAAACAUCACUGGAAAAAUGGGGUAUGUCUGCAAUCACUAAGAGCUGAAUUUGAGAGGUUGAAAAUGAGAAGUUCAAAAAAUAUUGAUGACUGUGUUAGCCGAUAGAUGGGGUAUUGAAAAAAUUCUAAUAAAAGUCCCUUUUUUUUACAAAGUUUACAAACAGAUAUCUAAUAUGUUUCUAACAGCUUGGGACAGAUGGUAGACUGUCGAUGGCAACCCACUUACACAAGCAGAUAUAUUAAUUAAAAUUAUGCCAACUAUAUUUGAUUUUGUAAGUUCAAAGAAUGAAGAAUAGGUAACAAUAUGUUGGAAAUAUGAGGCUUCCAACAAAAUGCGAUUCUUGGAAAAUGUCAUAUUAAUAUAAAACCCCGAAUCACCCUGUUUAACACUGACAAAUAGAUGUGGUAAUCCAUGCCCAAUGUGCUGGUUCUUAUAAAGCAUAGAAAUGGUCUUUCACCUUCAUAGACAGCUUGGAGUUGCAAAUUGAAAGCUAGAUGCCAGAAAAGUUAAAUGAAAGCUUAAUUUGUUAGUUGUUUUUAGAGUAAAAAUAUCAUGAAAGUCUCUGUUUUGUCCGCUCUAUUUAAAAAAUAGAUAAAUUGAUCCUUAAACAUUAGAUCAAAUAAUAAAUUGGAGAUUUUUGUUAAAAUUUUUAUAUAUUUAUAUUAUUAAAAAUUGGUGUAACUAAUGGAAUUACUAACCAAUGACAUAUGGCGUGCUACGAGUACCUCAUACUAAAAUGCAUGAAUCAUUUUUUAACCAUAGAAAUAGAUAAAAUUUUUUAACGGAUGAUCAAUUUACUUUUUGAUUUAACAUAUUUAGAUUAAUUUACUCAUUAUUUGAGUAGAAUGAGCAAAAUACAAUCCAAGCAUAUAUUUUUAGUCACAGAUAUCCGUAGACAUUGCAUGAAUACUAUUGGAUCAAGCCGGCUAAGUAAUCAAUAAAUGCCCACCAUUAUAAAUUCCAUGAAUCUCUUAUUUCAUUCCAAACAUGUAAUACUUGACUUAGCCAACACGUUGCCAUCUGAAUCCUUUGCAGAUAUAUAUAUAUAUAUAAACCUUAAUUCCACUUACCUUAAGCAAGGCCUCAUUAUACACUGCAUCAAAGGGUCACUCACUACUGAAAUAAGAUAUUCCCUUCUCCUUCCAACUCUAAGAUGGCUCGUUUAAGCAUAGUUUUGAUUAUCUUUCUUUUCUCUUUUAUCAUCCAAGCACCAUCAUCAGCUGAAGCUAGAAAGCUAAUGAUGAACUUGCAGGAAACAGCUGAAGCACUUCCAUUGAACAAAAAUGUUUUCGUAAGUGUUAAGCAAAGAGAACCGACACCAGCAGUUUCUUUUAGAAACAAAGACCACGAAAUAGUUGAUGAGUGUUGUAGGCCCCUUUCUAUUAAACUCGAAAAUCCUUCAUAUUAAAUCCCAAAACCCAACACAUUAAACUAAAACCCAACAAAUUAAACUCAAAAUUUUACCCAAACCCGAAUAGCCCACUAAAGUCUAACCCAAAACUAAACUUAAUUACCUAGCCCAAGCCCAAUACCCAUUACACAAUUUUUUUGAAACCCUAAUCUACCCUAGCCGCCUCUGCCUUUUGACCAACUCUCUGACUCCUCUGUUACCAUCCACUCUUCCACCGGCCACCUGCUCUGCUGCUUCCAACCACUGCCUAUGCUUAUCCUUGCAAGCAAUAAAGAAGACAAGACAGAUAUAAUAGAAAAUAGGUGUAAAAGGGUUAUAAAACCCGAAUCAAAAACUGUAAAGAGCUUGGAUUUUCGGGAUCAAUACAAAGAAUAUUUUAAUAUACUCAAGAAGAUUCAAAAAAUAUAAAGACAAUACAAGAGUAACAUCCAAGCAACCGAAUACCAAAGAGUGAAGAAUCAAAAGUGGAAAAGCCUAAGGUGAUUCUGUUUUCUUGUUUUAAAUACUAUUUUAGGUUCAUUUUACAUACACAUCUAGUAAAACUACACCAAAUAUACAAAAAUAUAAAAGAUAAAAUACUAAAAAAGAAGAAGCUUUUACCUUUUCCGGCCAUCGUGCACGGUGGCCGGCGCCGGCAACGGUCCGGCGAUCGGACCGGUGACCGGCCCACCGCCGGAAAUCCCCUUCCCCCUCCCUUCUCUCUUCCUUCUCUCUUCUUUUUUUUCUUUCUCUCUCACCAAAAGAUUUUUUUUUGUUAAUUUUAGGCCUUAUAUAGCCUUCCAAAACGACGUCGUUUUGGGGGCUACUCUUUAGCCCCAAAACGGCAUCGUUUUGGUCUAACCCGUUUGUUGACCCGACCUGCUCCAAGGAACCGCGUGUUUUUGCGGAAGGGUCUAAUUUCGCGAAUGACCCUUCCGCUUUUUAAGCGUUCUGCAAUUUAGCUUAUAUGUAUUUAUAAAUUGGCCCUAAAGUUUGUAGCGUUUCGCAAUUUAACCCCGUUCAAUGCUGUGUGUUUUAAAUGCCUGGGGAAUUUGCUCUUUCACCCCCUGAUAUUUUUAGCGCACAUGCAAAUGGGCCCUUCUUCCUUUAUUUCCUUUUAAAUUUGCCCCAAAACUUUGUUAGCAUUCCAAUUUUAGUCCUUUCAUAUUCAUUUUUGUUUCUUUAUUAAAUUUUGUUAUUAUUAUUCUAAUAUUAUUAAUAUUAUCAAUAUAUUUAUUAUUUUUAGUGUAUGUUUGCAUUAUACAUGCAUACGUAUAUAUAUAUGGUAUUAUAUUUAGUUACUUUAAUUUCAUAUUGUCAUUAUUAGCAUUAUAAUAUUAUAUUCAUUAUUAAUACUAGUGUAUAUUUUAUUAUGUAUGUAUAUAUAUUCUUUUUAUAUAGUAUUAUCGUUUCUAUUAUUAUAUCUAUAUUUAUGUUUAUUAUUUUCACUAUUAUUUUUUUAUUAUACGUAUAUGCAUAUAGAUGUUUUUUAGUACUUAUUAUAAGUAGAUUAAUUUCUUACUAUAUUAUUAUUUUUUUUACUCAUCUCUUCAUUAUUUUUUAUUUAUUAUUUUAAAUACUCUUAUAUUAUGUAUAUUAUUCUUUUUAAAUAUUAUAUUUUCUAUAUAUUAUGUAUACAUUUUUUAUAUAUUACGUAUAUAUCUUUUAAUAUUGUACUUUUAUAUAUAUCAUGUAUAUAUUUUGAAUACUAUAUUAUUUUUUCUAUUAUCUCAUGUUUAUUAUAUUAUGCUUUUUAAUACUAUAUUUUUUUAAUACCAUAUAUAUUGUGUUUAUUCUUAAUACUAUAUGUUGUAUGUAUUUUAUAUAUAUAUAACUAUAUUAUACGUAUAUAUAUGUAUAUUAUGAAUGCAUUUUUAAUAAUAUUAUGUUUUAUAUAUAUAUGUGUGUAUACUUAUGUAAUGUUAUUAAUAGUUGUUUUUUAAUAUUAUUAUUAUUUUUAAUAUGUAUAAACUAUGUAAAUAUAUUAAUACCUUAUUAUGUAUACAAUUUUUAUUUAUAUAUACAUAUCUUUUUAAUAUUAUAUCUUUAUAUAUGUCAUGUAUAUAUUUCUAAUACUAUAUUAUGUUUUCAUAUAUAUAUUAUGUAUAUACAUUUUUCAAUAUUAUAUAUGUAUAUAUUUUUCAUAUAUAUGCGUAUAUAUUUAUGUAGUAUUAUUAAUAGUCUUUUUUAUUUCUAGUAUGUAUACAUUAUGUAAAUAUUAUAUUAUGUAUGUAUAUAUAUACAUUUAUAUAUAUUAUGUACAUUUUUAAAAAAAAUAUUAUAUUGUUUAUAUAUUAUUAUGUAUAUAUUUUGAUAUCUUUAGUUAUAUAUUUCUUUAUACUAUCUUAUGUACAUAUUCCUAACACCGCUGUUAAUUUUAUAUAUAUACGUACUUAUGUAGCAUGUGUAUAGUUUUUAUAUAUAUACUAUUAUCAUUCUAAUAUAGGUAUAUAUUGUAUAUAUUGUAUAUAUAUUAUGUACUUAUUUUUAAUGUUUUUAUGUAUAUAUUUCUUAAACUAUUCCAUCUACGUAUUUUUGAUAAUAUUGUGUUAUAUAUAUACAUUUUUCAUAUUAUGUUAUAUAUCUAUCCUUUAAAUACCAUUAUGUAUAUAGUUUUUUAUUUGUUACUAUUAAGUAUACGUAUGUGUAGGAUCAUUAAUAUUUUUAAUAUCAUGUUUUCAUAACUAUAUUAACCAUUAUUAUAUGCGUAUAUAUAUACAUACAUUGUUUCCAUUUCAUAUUUAAUUCUCAUAUUAUGUUUAAUACCGCAUACAUCUUUAUCAUUUUUGAUAUUAUUGUCAUAUUUAUUAUUUGCUUUAAUAUGUUUCUAGUUCUUUUAUUUAUUUUUAUUUCAUGUCAAUUUGCUCUGCAUUACUUCAAAAAUCUUAUUCUCAUUUUCUAAUUAAUUUCAAUACAUGAGGCGACGUAUCGGUUUAACACUAAGUCGUUGAUUUCAUCGCUAUGUUGGGUGAAUCAUAUCGGCUCGUGUUGAAAACGGAAUGCCCUUUUAACCAAUCAAAAUUUAAAAAAUUCUCAUCUUUUCAACCGGAUCACGAUUAAAUCUUACAUUGAACUCGUAUUUUUGAGAAUUAAGACAACGCGUGUUUUACAAGAUACCAAUUUUGGGCGUCGCGAGGGUGCUAAUACCUUCCUCGCGCGUAACCGACUCCCGAACCCUAAUUUUUCUCUGGCUUUUGACAUAGACCUAAACUCAGCCUUCUUUUUGUUUUAAAAAAAAGAAAUCUAAUAGGUGUCCGAUCACACCUAGGAAAAAGGAUCGGUGGCGACUCCUACUUUAUUUUAAAAUCAAACUUCGGUUUUCAAGUUUUCACUAAAUCGCCACAAUUAGCGACCAAACUUAAAUUUUUUACGUCGCUACAGUUGGCGACUCCACUGGGGACCCAUUUUUGAGAGUCGAGUCGAAUUAAACGCGUGUUGUCAAAAUUUUCAAAAUUCCUUGUUCAAAUUAAUAUUUAGUCGUGAUCCUAAAAUUGUGUUUUUGAAAAAUCAUGCAUUUGCAUCGUGUUGUAUAUAUUCUUCUAACUUGUUUUAUCUGGUUGUUUUUCAGCUUUAAAUUAAUUUUUAUGGUUUUAGUUUUGGUUUAGUUUUUAAAUAAAACGUAAAGGUUUGUGAGUUUCUCCCCACACACCGUGCACUUGCAUUUUGCAUAACAUGAGCUCUCUACCCGAGCUCUGUCUGUUUAAGUGAAAGUAAACACUAUGCCUUCGUGAGUUAACUCGUCCCUCCGUACAGGCUAGUGAAUACUUUCGGAUUACAUAUGACUUAUGCUUUCGUGAGUUAACUUGUCCCUCCGCAUAGGCAUAAAUAAAUGUAAUCCCUCGAAUUGAACUCGUGAGCCUGUAAUGGGCUACGACCGAGGCUUCAUACUAAUAUUAGUAGAUGACAGUACGGACAAUUCGAGUACCUGUAUAGAACCGAAACCACAUAUAGUGAACCGUACGAGCCACCUAAUUAGAGCCAUUCCGAACCUUCGUCCGUUAAUAGUCACCGAAAUAAGUACAUAGGAGAAAUGCCUCUUACCUUUUAUUUCUUUGACAUUUACACUUUUUAUUUGGAUUUUUCGUAAUUUAUAUUUGUUGUGAUUACUAACCAAGGUUGUUUGUCUUUAUUUUUAUUUUUCAUCAUGCAUUACAGGCAUCAUAUUAGGAAGGUGUUGACUAGAGAUCGGUUGCCAAAAAAAUAGAUUUCUAAUGGAAGAGUCAAUUAUACAAACAAUCGAGAAGAAUACUGUGGAUCGGGACUGGUCUCUAAAAACUCAAAAAGAAAAAGGGGAUAGUCUAGUAAAGGGAUGUAUUACCAAUCUACUCGAGCACGUAACUGUGAAUGUUCGCCAGAAUAACCUUGAAGAUUUGGUUCGGGUUUGGAAUCAGUGGGACUCAGACACUAGGGGUAUCUUCACUGAAAGAUUUGGGGACAUAGCCAACUUGAUUGCUGUCAACGCAGACGAACGAUUGAUCCAAGCCAUGGUCAGAUUUUGGGAUCUGGCUUACCAAUGUUUUACCUUCAAUCGAGAGGAUAUGACUCCGACUAUAGAGAAGUAUGUUACUUUGUUUCGUGUUGAAAACGCGUAAUUCUAUAAAGUAUAUGUGAAGGAGCCUAAGCCGAUGACCUUCAAGAAAAAGUUAGUGAGAUUGACAGACAUGACUGACGCAUGGGCUGAAAAAUAGAUAAAGAAGAAGAAUGAAACCAUUUGCAUCCCAUGGUCUUCCCUACGAGAUUUGGUUCUGAACCAUCCCGACAUGUUGAAAAGGAUAAAUCUAUUUGCUUUGGCCAUUAAGUCCUUGGACACAUAGAAGUUGCGGUGGUGGAUUUCUUCGAAAGACUAAAGCAAGGAAUCAAACCUGUCCCAACUAUCUUGGCUGAGACCUUCAGAUCCUUAAACAAUUGUAAGAAAGUGAGGAAUGGAUGAUUUAUUGGAUGCGCGUAGUUGUUCAAUGUUUGGAUCUUGAGUCAUUUCUAGAAAGUAGAGCGCACACCGUUCCAUAUGUUUUCAAAAACAUUUGCCCCGUUGGAAGCUUAUCUCAAGAGAGAAUGGCCAAAGGAUGUCACCGAAAAGUAUUAGGUUUCAGUUUUUCAGAACCUUCGAGCUGAAGAUGUAACCUGGAGAGCACUGUGGAUCCGCCCUUUGGUUCUGUUAUACAGGUUAGAAAUCAAGAUUGGGUACCACUACUCGGGCUAUGGGGAGGAAUUGGAUACGCUCCGUUAAUGGUCUAGAGACAAUUUUCUUCACGAUAAUUCAUACCCGCCACUGGAGGAUUAACACAGUCCGAGUUUGCUUUUGCGGGUGAAGGCUAUAUGAAGAGGGUCGAGGCACUGCAAAAUCUUAGAAGAAAGUUCAUCUGAUAGAGUUGGCCCUGUACACUGAUCCUCUCACUCAAGAUUACGACAUAUGGAGAAUACAACGGGUGAAUAGCCAGCGAGUUUCGUCAAUGAGUUACGCCUUUCAGAAUCCCUUCUUGAAGGAAAUACCGUCCGAGUUAGAAGUGGCAAGACAAGAAUUUGAACGAGAAAAGGCCAAGAUGUCUCGGGACCUCAGUGCUCUUCAAGAAGAAAAUUACUAGUUUAAGAUCGACGUUCAGAUUGAAAGGUCCAAAAUCAAUAAAGCGCAAAAAGUAGUUGAAGUCGUAAGAAAUGACUUAAGGGACCUCCAUCUGGAAAAUAAAAAGUUAAGAGGUACAAUAAAAAACAGUGGGUUGGGCAAAUCGUCAGUAGAAUGGAAGGAGGAAAUUAGCAACAUCAAAGGAGCGAUGGAAUUCUGGAAAGGGAAAGCGAAGAAAGAAGAAAAAAAGGCUGCGCGGGCUAUAAUGGAGCUAAGAAAGAAGAAUGCCAAAUAUGAAGCUGUGUCUGCCGAGGUAACGACUAGUCGAUCUAAACGAUAAGAACUAAAAGAGAAGAUACGAGAAUUAGAAGAUAUGCUGCAAGAUCGUCAACAACAGUUAGAUACUCUCUUGGAGGCUUUGGAAGAAAAGAAUAGUCAAUAUGAUAGAGACAUUCGUGCUUACGAAGAGGGCCUCCAAGAAAAAGAAAUGCAACUUAGCUAUUUGAUCAAUGAAAUUCGUGGGCUAGCUAUGCACGUGGUACAACUAUCGGAAGAAGCUAAAAUUCUUAUUUGCCAAUUCCCUCCAAGUCGAAGAUCGAACAUAUCAGAAUUCAUAGCACGAGUAAAGAAAUAUGGUGAUAUAGCUAGGAAGUUUGUGUAAUGGCUGAAUCGAAAAUAGCAAAAUGUUUUGUAAUGAACUCUUUUGAUGAAUGAAAUGCCUAAAUAGGGGCUAUCUUGAAAUCAACACCCAUUUCUUGCAUUUCUUUCAUAAUUGACAUUCAUUUAUGCAUUCAUUCAUUCAUUGCAUGUACCUAUCCCAUAAUCACUCGCUAAGGUUAGAAUCAUAUAAUUCGCAGUCACAACACUUUAGAUCUGGAAUCACGUCAUUCGUAUAGAAUGCGUCGACAAGCUAGAACAAUAGAGGCAGAGUUCAAUGAAAGAAUCGAAAAGAUGGAAAGAGUCCAAAGGGAAUUGCAAGAACAACUAGCUAAGUCACAGCAAGAAACGAGGGAUCUGAUGGUGAGAUCUCGAGAGGAAUCACUUGAACAAAGGGACUAAAUGACCAAGAUGAUGAAAAUGAUGUCAGCUCUGGUAAAAGGAAAGAGACCUAUGAACCCUGACGUUGUGGAACCACAGUUAAGGGCUAAUCAUGAUCAGGAUCCGCCCCAUCCGCCAGGAUUUACUCCACCGCAUGCCCAUGCAACACAAAGAGGGUACACUCAAUGAGAACCUACAGGCCUGGAGCAACGGCCUACAUCACCUGCUAAUCUGGGGCAAGGAAUGUUCGUAUCAAACCCGGGGGCUAGUCUUGCUGAUCCACUCGUUCCAGAUUUGGACGAUCCAGCAGAAAUAGCUAAGUUGAAAAUCGGUGAUCACGAAGCUCAAGAGAAGUAUAGGAGCUUAGAGGAAAGACUCAAAGCAAUAGAGGGUACUGAAGCCUUCUUUGCAUUGAGUGCCAAAGAGCUCAGUUUGGUGCCCGAUCUGGUUCUGCCUCUGAAAUUUAAAGUACCAGAUUUCGAAAAAUACGAUGGCACGAGAUGUCCAAAGGCACAUCUUAUAAUGUUUUGUCGGAAGAUGACUGGUUACGUGAAUGAAGACAAGCUACUCAUACAUUGUUUUCAGGAUAGUCUAGUAGGAUCGGCUUUUCGGUGGUACAACCAGCUUAGUAGGGAAAAGAUUCGAUCUUGGAAGGACUUGGUGUAAUAUCCUAAUUUUGGGCCUAGUCAGAAUAGUGGUUUCGAGACCACAAAUCUGAGAUAAAAAAAAAAAUUUUAUAAUUAUUUUGAGGUCUAUGAUAUGAUUGCAUGAUUGUAUGAAAAUUUCAUGAAGAAAUUCUAUGCAUAAAGUGCUUAAUUUGAAAUUAGGGACUAAAUUGAAUAAAUUGCAAAACUUGUGUUCUAGAAGCAUUUUGCAUAAAAAUUGAAUUAGAUUAUUAAUUAGAGGUCCUUACAGAGAAUUUGACCAAUUUGUAAGUCUAUGGACAAAAAUUGGACAUGGAUGGAAUUUUUGGAAAGUUUAGUAGUAAGGGCAUUUUGGUCAUUUAUAUAUUAAAUGAAAUUAUGUAGUAUAGGAAGUUGUAGAUAAAACAGAAUAAAAACGAGGUAUCGAGACCUCGAAUUCAUAAACCGAGCCAUAAAUAUUUUUAGAAAUAUUUAUGGAGUGUAAAUAAGUUAGUAUUAAAGUUUCGUCAAGAAAUUUUAAGGUUUUAGUAAUUAAUUAGGUGAAAAGGACUAAAUUGAACUAAGUGCAAAAUUUGUGAGAUGUGAUUAAAUAGCUUAAGUAUUUAAAAAGAUGGAUUUAAAGAGCAAUUAGACCCAAAGGUUAAUGGCUGGACGGUUUGGGUAUGAAAUAAGCAAGAACACAAUGUGAACAAGGGGCAAAAUUGGAAAUAGCAUAAAAGUUAGUAAUUAAAUAAUGAUGUAAUUGAAAAAUCUAGACAUUUCUUCAUCUUUCUCAGCCAGAAACGCCGUAGCAGGUCUCCUAUGCUGGUUUUUCAUAUUUUUGCACCAUGUAAGUUCAAUUUUUACUUUUUCUUAGUAAUUUUUAUGUUUUUGUGACUUUUAUAAUUAGGUCCAAUCAUCUAAUUCAUUAGUUUUUGAUUUGGUGGAUGAAAUUGGAAGUUCCCCUGGUUGAGUAAGGGCAGUUUAUGAUGAAUUAUUAUGAAAUUGAAGUUCUAAUUUCAUAUUAAGGUUGUUUUAUUAAGUCAUUUUGAUAGAAAAUGGUAUUUAGGACCUAAUUGUGAAAACAAUUGUGAAUUAGAUGUUGGUGUUGAAAUUCAGAAUAUCAAAGGUUGUGAAAUAGUUUAUAAUGAUAAAAUAAAGUGUUAAUUGAGAAAAUUUAGUUCAAUUUAUGGGUGAAUUGAGUAGGGACUAAAUUGUAAAAACUAUAAAUUUUGGGGGUAAAAGUGCAAUUUCAAAAUUUGAACAGCAUAAAUUGUGAAGUGAAAUAGAAAUCAAAUAAAUGCUAAUAAGUAGAAAUAAUUUAUAUUAUAAAUCAAGAGAAACGAGAUUCAAGUCGUGAUCGAGGGAAAAAUAAAGUUUACGAGGAAUAAGCUCGAUUGCUAAUAUUUUAUAUCGAGGUAAGUUCAUAUGAUUUUUAAUAAUGCAAUGUGUAAUUUAAUGUUUUGAAAUGAAAAUUUCAUGAAUGAUAUAGUAUAUUAUUGCAUAUAAAAUGUCAUUAAACUGUGAUAAUUGUAAAAUGAUAUUUGAAUAAAAGUACAAAUUAAAUGGAACAACGGACUUGAGUACUUUCAUUCAGUGGCUAAGACGAAUUGACGGAAAAGACCAUGGUUGGACCAUGACAGCAUGUGAAAUGUGAUUUCCGUAUAAGACCAUAGCUGGGCUAUGGCUUCGGACAAAUGUGAUAUGUGCUUCCGUAUAAGACCAUAUCCGGGAUAUGGCAUCAGUGUGAUAUGUGCUACUGUAUAAGACCAUAUCUGGGAUAUGGCAUCAGUGUGAUACGUGAUCCGUGUAAGACCAUGGCUGGGCUAUGGCCUCGGUAUGUGAUAUGUGACUAUGUGCAAGACCAUAGUUUUACUAUGGCAUUGUGAUAAUGAGGUACUCAAUUCCAUAAUCGUUCCCUAAUUUGAUUAUGAACGAAAAUGUAAAAUGGCCCGAAAAGAUUAAGAAUUGGUGAAUACUAUGAAAAUGACACGAUUUGGAAUAAGUUCUUGAUACUUGAUGACAUUGAGAUUAUGGAUCUAUGCUUAUGAAGCAUAAUUAUAUGUUCUUACCAUGAUGGAUGAAAUGAUAUUGUAUGGAUUUAGUGAAUAAUAGUGGUGAAUGAAUAAAUAUGGCCUUGGCAGUUUUGGGUUACUGCAGUAGUGUAACUUUUGAAAUUCACCAUAAAUUGUGGAAAUUGAGUUACGGGCUGAGUAAAAUAUGAGAUUAAAGCCUGAUGAGUCUAGUUUCAUAUAGAGGAAACAGUACAUGCAAUUGGAUUUUAUGUUAUGAGAUGUUUAAAUUGUUGUGAGACAGAGUCUGAAUGACUUCGAGAUCCCCUGUUCUGAUUUUAGAAAAUCAUUAGAAAUUGUACAAAAAUAAUUAUGAGUUUUAAUUUAUAUAUUUAAAAUCUUUAUCGAGUCUAUUUUCAAGAGGGAUAGACGGGAACAUCAUCCAAGUCCCGAAUUAUGAGAUAAAUAAUUUUUAGUGAAGAGAGGUCAGAAUUGUUGGACAGUGAAACAGGGGAAACUUUAAUGAGUAGACUGUACUAAAUGGAUAAACCAAAAAUUCUGGAAAUUUUAUGGGAGAAAGGCAUAUGAAUCUAGUUUCAAGGAAAAUUAAUGGAACUUAAUUUGGAGUUUCGUAGCUCCAGAAAUAAAUUAUUUAGUAAAUGUAUCUCGAUAAAACAGUUUAAGCUGAGUAUGUAUAAUUGUACAAUUGUGGUGUUUUAUCUUAAAAGCAUGUUGGUAAUUGCUUAUUAAUUUCAUAUGGACUUACUAAGCAUUUAUGCUUACUCUCUCCUUUUCAUUCAUUGUAGUUUUGACAAGCCAGCUCGGAAAUCGAGAACAGUCGGAGGCCACUCACACUAUCCGUAUACCAUCUUGGCGUAAUGGCUUGUAUAUUUUGAGUAUGGCAUGUAUAACAUUAUAAUCAUUUUGUAUAUAUGGUCUUAUGAUAUGGAUAUUGAGUAGUAUGGAAAUGUUUGGUAAUGAUUAGCCAUUGGAAUGGCUAAUCAUGAUCAUAUUUGGUGUUAUAUAUGUAAAUUGCUAGCUAAUCCAUGGAAACCAUGAAAUAGGCAAAAUUUACCAUAAAAUAGAUUCAGACAGCAGCAGUGAUGUGAGUUUGAAAAAUUAUUAAAAAUAGAUACAAUUAGAUGAUGAAUAAAAUAUGAAAUUGAAGAAUUAUUAGUCUAUUUUCAUAUGGAUGGAACAAAACAGGUAUAUGAGUUAUAUUUUAUGAGAAGUUUAAAUUUUUGUGAAACAGGGCCAGAGCGAUUCUGACUUUGGAAAUUCACCAUAAAUUGUACAAAUAUAAUUAGAAGUUAUGCUUUAUAUGUACAGAUUCCUUAUUGAGUCUAGUUUUAUUAGAAACAAACAGAAUAGUCAUUGAAACUCUGUACAGAGAAAUAUCUGAUUCGUAAUACACAGAGGUCAGAGCAGUCGAACCCUAAAACAGGGGAGACUUUAACUAAUAAACUGUACUAAUUGGCCUGACCAAAAAUUGUACAAAAAAAUUAGUAGAUAGAUAUAUGAGUCUAGUUUAAGGAAAAAUUUACGGAAUUUGAUUUUGAAUUUUGGAACUCGAGAUAUGAAUUUUUAAGCAACUAUUAUGCAGUUGGACAGCUUGUUCGAAUUUGUUUAAGUGCUCAAAUAAGUUUAGUAAUGCCUCGUGCUCGACUCCGGCGACGGUCUCAGGUAAGGGGGCGUUACACUUGGCGUCAGCAUUCUGUGAGUAGUACAAGCAUGUAUCGGAUAUGAUGCCUAAUCGAAUGACCCUACAAAUGAUGGAAAAGAAACCAGCAAAAACCUUUAGGCAAUAUGCUCAAAGGUGGAGAGAUAUCUCGGCUCAAGUGGAACCACCACUGACUAAGACUAAGAUAACAGUCCUUUUCAUCAACACUCUGAGAGCACCAUUCUAUGACAAGCUGGUGGGAAGUGCUAUGAAAGCUUUUUCGGAUAUCGUAAUAUCCGGAGAACUUAUUGAGAAUGCCAUCAAAAGUGGGAGGAUGGAAGGUUCAGAAAGUUCAAAAAGGGGAGUACCCAUGAGGAUGAAAGAGCCAGAAGCCCACAUGGUGGGAACCGGAAGUCGUUAUAUGCCCAAUUCAUACCCAAAUCAACUCCGACCUCGAAAUUAUCCACCUCCGAAUUUCUAUUAUCCCCCUCAAAACCCUUACUAUCAAACACCACCUCCUUACCCAUCCUACCCCGUAUAUGCCACAAAAAACCAAAGACCAGUCACUGUAUUCCCACAAAAUACUAUACCCUUCCAAGGCCAGUCUAAAAAAGAACAAAGGCCAGCAAGACCCAACCUUGAGAAACCACAGUUUACUCCUAUUCCUGUGUCGUUUGGGAACUGUACCCAAAACUCUUGGAGAAGCAAUUAAUAUCUCCCCAUUACAUGACACCCCUUAAGCCUCUAUACCCGAAAUGGUACGACCCAAAUGCUAGUUGUGCAUACCAUGCCGGGAACCAGGGGCACUCUACGAAAAACUGCAUUGCCUUCAAAAGGAGAGUUCAGAGACUCAUCGAUAAGGGCAUUCUGCGAUUUGAUGGUACUGGCGGUACGGCCGGGAACCCAUUCCCAAACCACGUCGAAGGAAAUGUGAGCGCAGUGGGAGAGGGGGACAAACAGCAAAGAAGAAGAUGGGUUUCUGAAAUAAGAACACCUCUACAGAAAAUCUGGUAGGUACUAGUUGAAAAGGGGUUGCUCUGUCAUCUUAACAGAGUAUUCGAAGGAAGAAAUGCAAAAGGUCAAAGUUUUUACGAAUUCCAUGGAAUUGAGGGGCACGACAUUUAAUUCUGCGAGGAGUUCAAGAGAUUAUUGCAAAAUAUGAUGGAUAAUAAGGAGAUUGAGAUUUUUUAUAAAGGUAAAGAGGCCAAUAGAUGAGAAAUAUGCGCCUUUGACAAUCAAUCGUCAGGUUUCCCGUAUAGCUCCGACCGGCCGUUAAUAAUUUAUUAUGACGCGAAGAAGGAGCCGGUGAAACCAAAAAUGAUAAUCGAAAUACCAUCUCCUUUCCCCUACAAGGACAAUAAAGCAGUACCAUGGAAAUACGAAGUCAAUAUCGUCACACCUGAAAAUGAAAAACCCAAAGCCAUGACUGGAAGUGUUGGGGAAGUAGGUCAUUUCACUCGUAGUGGGAGAUGUUAUUCGAAAGAGGUCGAACCAGUGAAGAAGAAUAGUGACUUGAAAUAGAAAGAAAAAGCACCGAUGCACGUGACCGAAGAUGAGCAUGACACUGUGCCUGAACUAGAAGCUAAAAAGCCUGUAGACGAUAAGGAAGCACAGGAGUUUUUAAAAUUUAUCAAGCAUAGUGAGUAUAAUGUGGUGGAACAAUUGAGUAAGCAGCCAGUACGAAUCUCGGUAUUAUCUCUACUGUUGAAUUCAGAACCACACUGCAACGCUCUGCUGAAAGUGUUAAAUCAAGCUUAUGUGGCAAACAAUAUAUCUGUUGAAAAGCUGGAUAGGUGGGUGAAUAAUUUGAAUACGAAUAAUUUCAUUUCUUUUAGUGAUGAUGAAAUACCACCCAAUGGUAGAGGCUCCAUGAAAGCAUUGCAUAUCACAACCCGCUGCAAGGGUUACAUAAUACCGAACGUGCUCAUCGACAAUGGAUCGGCACUCAACAUCAUGCCUUUGGCCACACUUUUUAGGAUUCCAAUGAAUUUGUCCUAUCUAAGGCCUUGCCAUUCCACAGUAAGGGCAUUCGAUGGAACAAGACAAGAAGUCAUGGGAAAAAUUGAGAUCCCUCUAGAAGUGGGUCCCUACAUAUAUAAUGUCGAGUUCUAAGUCAUGGACAUUAAACCCUCAUAUAACUGCCUUUUAGGAAGACCCUAGAUCUAUUCCGCUGGAGCAGUCCCAUCAUCCCUCCAUCAAAAAGUGAAGUUUAUCAUGGAUGGCUGUUUGGUCACUGUCGAGGGAGAAGAAGAUAUUGUUGCAUCUAUUUCUACCGACGCACCAUACAUUGAAGUGAGUAAAGAUGCUAUAGAAUGUUCCUUCCGAUCCAUUGAAUUUGUCAAUGCCACAUUCGUCGCUGAGGAAAAUAGAAUUCCUGCGCCUAAACUGUCAAGAAAUACCAGGAUGGGUAUCAAGAUGGCUGUGGAAAGAGGAGCCCGAGCAAGGAAAGGUUUGAGAAGGUAUCUGUAAGGAAUAGUCAGGGCCUUAAAGCCGGUACAUCACAAAGCUCGAUACAGUUUAGGGUUCCAACCAAAAGUACGUCAAAGAAGAAAACAGUGGAAGAAGGAUCAGGAGAGAAGGAUUGAGAGACUUUAGGCCGAGAAAUAGAAUGGGAGCCCAUAACAUACCCUCCUUUGUCAAAAACGUUUACAUCUGCAGGGAUGAUAUACCCCGGACAGGAUAAUACACAAAGUACAUUGUUAUUAAUUGAAAGGGGUCUUCAGAAUGUCAGUAUAAAUUUCAUUGACAAAGGAAGUGAGGCAAUUAAAGAUGUUUCAACGAUACGCCCUUAUCCUCCUGGUUUCAUUUUGAACAAUUGGACUGCCGAGGACUUUCUUGUAGUUUAUAAGUCCUCAGAGUAAUGCUCAAACAUUAACCCUCUAUUGUGUCCUUAGAUAUAAUGGAAUUUUUUUGUGAGAGCUUGCAUUCGCUCUUUAUCAUUUAAAUGAGUAUCAAUAAAGAUGCAUUUUGUCACGAUCUUUCGCAUUAUCACUAACUUCAUAAUCAUCUUCUCAUUUCACAGCCUAUUUGUACAUUUUCCUCAUACCAUGCCAUAACAUUUCGUUUGUUGGUUCCAAUACUUGGAUGCCCCUCUAUAGUUUCCUUUUCCAUUCAACUUUCAGGUGCUCAGAUAUCAACAGCAUGAACAAACCCGUUACGAGUCCUGAAAUCGAUUUUGAGAAGGUUGUUUGUUUAGGAGAAUUUGAAGUCAAAGAAAAUGUUGAAGAUAUGUCUCGUCUUCUGACUUGCUAAGAAUGGUGGAACAAGAGGAUAAAUAGAUUUUGUUUUAUCAAGAAUCUGUUGAAACAAUAAAUUUGGAAACUGAAGAAAAGAAGCAAGAAGUGAAGAUUGGGACCUCUAUUUCAGAGGACAACAGGCAUAAUUUGAUUGCUUUGCUCCACGAGUACAAAGAUGUAUUCGCAUGGUCAUAUCAGGACAUGCCAGGAUUGGAUGAAGAUGUAGUGGUCCAUAAGCUCCCAUUAAAGCCAGAAUGCAAACCCAUUCAACAAAAGUUAAGACGGAUGAGACUAGAGAUGUUGUUGAAAAUAAAAAAGGAAGUCAAGAAGCAAUUUGAUGCUGGCUUCCUAUAAGCCUCCAAAUAUCCAGAAUGGGUGGCUAACGUAGCCUCGGUACCAAAGAAAGAUAACAAAGUACGAAUGUGCGUGGAUUAUCGUGACCUGAACCGAGCAAGUCCUAAAGAUAAUUUUCUUUUAUCACACGUUAACACGUUGGUGGAUAACACAGCAAAACAUUCAUUGUUUUCCUUCAUGGAUGGAUUCUCAGGGUAUAAUCAGAUCAAGAUGGCCCUGAGAAUAUGGAGAAAACUACAUUCGUAACAAUGUGGGGAACAUUCUGCUACAAGGUAAUGCCAUUUGGGUUAAAAAAUGCUAGGGCAACAUAUCAGAGGGCUAUGGUAAUGUUAUUCCAUGACAUGAUGCAUAAAGAAAUAGAGGUCUACGUCAACGAUAUGAUUGCUAAAUCCCGAUGGGAAGAAGAGCAUGUAGUGAAGCUGAAGAAGUUGUUCGACAAACUGAGAAAGUUCCAGCUAAAGCUCAAUCCAGCCAAAUGUACGUUUGGGGUUACCUCGGAAAAGUUGUUAGGCUUCAUUGUCAGUGAAAGAGGUAUCGAGGUUGAUCCAGAUAAAAUAAAAGCCAUUCAAGAGUUUCCACCUCCGCAUACGCAAAAGGAAGUCAGAGGAUUGUUAGGGAGAUUAAACUACAUCGCCCGAUUCAUCGCUCAACUUACCAACCAAUGUGACCCAAUCUUUCAACUUCUUCGAAAACAUAACCCGGGAGAAUGGAAUGAGGAAUGCCAGAUGGCCUUUGAUAAGAUAAAAUAAUAUUUGUCUAGUCCUCCAGUGCUAGUACCGCCAAUUCCGGGAAGACCAUUGAUAUUGUAUUUGACUGUGUUCGAAAAUUUGAUGGGUUGCGUACUGGGGCAACACGACGAAUCAGGAAAGAAAGAAAAGACGAUCUACUACCUCAGUAAAAAGUUCAUUGAAUAUGAGGCAAGGUAUUCGUCCAUUGAAAAAUACUGUUGCGCUCUGGUUUGGGUAGUUCGGAGGCUCAGGCAAUAUAUGUUGUAUCAUACGACAUGGUUAAUUUCAAGGCUGGACCCAAGAAAGUACAUGAUGGAAUCACCUGCACUCUCAGGAAGAAUGGCACGGUGGCAAAUCCUACUGUUAGAGUAUGACAUCGUCUAUGUGAGCCAAAAGUCGAUAAAAGGGAGCGCAAUAGCUGACUUCUUAGCAACUCGAACAACAGAGGAAUAUGAGCCAUUGAGAUUUGAUUUUCUAGAUGAAGACUUGAUGUGUAGUACAGAAAAAGAAUGCGAGUCAUCAAAAGAGAAGUCUUGGAAGAUGAGCUUUGAUGGUGCAUCGAACGCAUUGGGGCAUGGGAUUGGAGCAGUCUUGGUAUCGCCAGAAGGGAACCAUUAUCCAAUCACUACCAGAUUAAACUUCUUCUAUACCAAUAACAUAGCGGAAUAUGAGGCUUGCAUCAUGGGACUUCGUGCGGCAAUUGAACGAAACAUCAAAACUUUAGAGGUAUACAAAGACUCAGCAUUGGUGAUUUACCAAAUCCGUGGAGAUUAGGAAGUGAGAGAUUCGAAAUUAGUCAAAUACAACGAUCUAGUGGCAGGACUGAUUAAAGAAUUUAAAGAAAUAAAUUUUAAUUACUUUCCGCGAGAAGAAAACCAAUUGGCUGAUGCUCUGGCCACUUUGGCUUCAAUGUUCAAAGCAAACAGAGAAAUAGAAAUAAUGCCUCUUCAAAUGAGCAUAUAUGAAGUCCCUGCACAUUGGUUCAGCAUUGAAAAAGAGCCAGAUGGACGGCCAUGGUUCCAUUAUGUCUUAGAAUAUAUCAGGAACCAAAGGUAUCCCGAACAAGCAAAUGAGAACGACAAAAGAACCAUCAGAAGAAUGGCAGCGGGAUUUGUUCUUGAUGGGGACAUCCUGUACAAAAGAGGAAAAGAUCAAGUGCUUUUGAGAUGCGUGGAUGAUGUUGAAGCUAGAAAAAUACUUGAAGAUGUCCAUGAAGAAAUCUGUGAGACACAUGCUAAUGGUUUCACUAUGGCCAGGAAGAUUAUGAGACUCGGUUACUACUGGUUGACGAUGGAAAGCGACUGCAUUAGUUUUGCAAGAAAAUGCCACAAAUGUCAAAUUUAUGGCGAUAAGAUUCAUGUAGCCCCUCCGCCCCUUCAUGUCAUGACUUCUCCGUGGCCCUUUUCUAUGUGGAGCAUGGAUGUUAUAAGGCCAAUUUCCCCAAAAGCUUCUAAUGGACACCGAUUCAUUUUUGAGGUAAUUGAUUACUUCACAAAAUGAAUAGAAGUCGCUUCGUUUGCCAAUGUGAUGAAGAAUGUAGUUUGUAGGUUUUUGAAAAAGGAAAUCAUUUGUUGAUAUGGUUUGCCUGAAAGAAUCAUUUCAGAUAACGCCAUGAACCUGAACAACAAGAUGAUGAAAGAAGUAUGUGAACAAUUUCAAAUAAAACAUCAUAACUCAUCACCCUAUUGCCCGAAAAUGAACGAAGCUGUUGAAGCAGCCAAUAAGAAUAUUAAGAAGAUUAUUGGGAAAAUGACCGAGACAUAUAAAGACUGGUACGAGAAGCUACUAUUUCCUUUGUAUGCAUAUCGCACAUCUACGGGGGCAACUCUUUUCUCUCUAGUCUAUGGAAUGGAAGCUGUGCUACCUAUCGAAGUUGAGAUCCCUUCCCUACGAGUCUUAAUGGAGUCGAAACUAGAGGAAGCAGAAUGGGUUCGAGCUCGAUAGGACCAGUUAAACUUCAUCGAGGAAAAACGUCUAAAGGCAAUUUGUCACGGGCAGAUGUACCAGAAGAGAAUGAUCGCGACCCAUGACAAGAAAGUACGGCCAAGUGAAUUCCACGAAGGAGAACUCGUGCUAAGAAAGAUUCUCCCAAUACAAAAAGAUCUGCGAGGAAAAUGGAAACCAAAUUGGGAAGGUCCAUACGUCAUAAAGAAGGCAUUCUCGGGUGGAGCUUUGAUUCUCACUGAGAUGGAUGGGAAAGAGUUACCGAAUCCAGUGAACUCAGAUGCUGUGAAGAAAUAUUAUGCUUGAAGAAAAAGAAAAUCAAGAUGAAAACCCAAAAACGGCAUCCUAAAAAAAAAGAGAUCAAGGUGAGAACCCGAAAAGGGUGUCUUGAUUAACACAAAAGAUUAGGAUAAAAACCCGAAAGGGCGUUCUAAUAAAGUAAACCUGGGCUUAAAGAGCAAUGCGACUUGAACGGUGGGUCAGAUGGCAAGGCUAUAAUAUUUGAAGCAUUUCUGAAAGCUCAAAAUCUUCUACGCAAGAAGCCAUGCUCGAAGAGAUUCUUGAUUAAGAAACGUAGAAGAGUUCAUGUGUUGAAUAUCUAGAGCAUUUGUAUUCGUUGAAUACGAUCCCUUUUCUCUUUAUGACACUUUUUUACUAUCAUUGAUUAACUUUCUUCGUUUGCUACAUUUGAAAUAAAUAAAUGCGAGGUAUCCUUUUGUCCCUACCUGACCGUUCUCAUGCAUCUCAUUACGUGGUUUAUUUAAAUGAUAAAUAGUGGAAUAACAUGCUCUGAACAAAAGAAACGUUGAGUAUUACCCGGAUGAGAAUUUGAUAAGUACAAGAGCCUCAAAGCAAGGACAAAGUUCAACCAGGGGCAAAAGAGUGAUAUCUGAGAAACGGAGAUUACUCGUGAAGCUUGAGGAUAGGUACAGGGCCUAAAGACAAAGUCAAGAGCCGAAGUAAUGAAUACAGAUCAUCACAAAAAAAUCGUGACGGAAAAAGACAUACGACAAACAUGCCUGAGGCACAUAGCAAAAUCAUGUAGGCAUAAAGGCAUUUAAGACAAACAUGUGCAUAUCAUGAUAACAUCAUGCAUGACAUAUACAGGUACUCCAGUAGAGCAAGAAGAUGUGAUGAUAACUGUACUGAAUCAAAAGAAAAGACACCUGUGUUCCACCAGAUGACAUCUUUUGGUAUUUUGAUUUUUGGUUUCAAAAAAAUCAACUCACAUUGCGAGAGGUGAGUUGAGCCUCAGGACACGCUGAGGUAAUUUCAAUUUCUGCUUGCCAAAAAUCAACUCAUAUUGCGAGAGGUGAGUUGAACCUCAGGACACGCUGAGGUAUUUCCAAUUUCCGUUUUUCAAUUUAUGCUUUUCAAAAAUCAACUCAUAUUGCGAGAGGUGAGUUGAGCCUUAGGACACGCUGAGGUAUUUUCAAUUUCUGUUUUUCAAAAAUCAACUCAUAUUGCGAGAGGUGAGUUGAGCCUUUUAAUUUUUGUUUUUCAAAAAUCAACUCAUAUUGCGAGAAAUGAGUUGAGCUCAGGAUCACAUGCUGAGUGAAGAAUAAAAAUUGAAGCUGAUUGAAGACGUCAGAUUCUGUCUCCUUAAAGUUGCAGCGGAGUUGAUCAAGGAUAUCAGAUCUUGCCUUUCUGAAGUUGCAGAAGAGAAGACCAAAACCUUAUCUCACUGAAGCGAUAGAAGAGCAGAUUGAAGCUGUAGAUCUUAUCUUUCUGAAAUUACAGUGAAGAUGAUUGAAGUACAAGGCGUAUAUCAGAAGAUGCAGUGGAUUGAACCAAAGAUGCGGUGGAUUGAAAGGAGACUACCUGAACAAGAGGAGCACCAAAAGAGGUCAAUACUUGGCAAGACCGGGCAAAAUUAGCCUUUCUUUGUGUCUUUGCUCUAUUCUCGUGACACGACAAUGAGCAAAUAGGGGCAUCUAUUGUAGGCCAAUUUUGGCCCCUUUAUAUUAAACUCCAAAACCCUUCAUACUAAACCCCAAAACCCAACACAUUAAACUAAAACCCAACAAAUAGAUUAUUUUCACUAUUAUUUUUUUUAUUAUAUGUAUAUGCAUAUAGAUGUUUUUUAGUACUUAUUAUAAGUAGAUUAAUUUCUUACUAUAUUAUUAUAUAUAAUUUUUUACUCAUCUAUUCAUUAUUUUUUAUUUAUUAUUUUAAAUAGUCUUAUAUUAUGUAUAUUAUUCUUUUUAAAUAUUAUAUUUUCUAUAUAUUAUGUAUACAUUUUUUAUAUAUUACGUAUAUAUCUUUUAAUAUUGUACUUUUAUAUAUAUCAUGUAUAUAUUUUUAAUACUAUAUUAUUUUUUCUAUUAUCUCAUGUAUAUUAUAUUAUGCUUUUUAAUACUAUAUUUUUUUAAUACCAUAUAUAUUGUGUUUAUUCUUAAUACUAAAUGUUGUAUGUAUUUUUUAUAUAUAUAACUAUAUUAUACGUAUAUAUAUGUAUAUUAUGAAUGUAUUUUUAAUAAUAUUAUGUUUUAUAUAUAUGUGUGUAUACUUAUGUAAUGUUAUUAAUAGUUGUUUUUUUAAUAUUAUUAUUAUUUUUAAUAUGUAUAAACUAUGUAAAUAUAUUAAUACCUUAUUAUGUAUACAUUUUUUAUUUAUAUAUACAUAUCUUUUUAAUAUUAUAUCUUUAUAUAUGUCAUGUAUAUAUUUCUAAUACUAUAUUAUGUUUUCAUAUACAUUAUGUAUAUACAUUUUUCAAUAUUAUAUAUGUAUAUAUUUUUCAUAUAUAUGCGUAUAUAUUUAUGUAGUAUUAUUAAUAGUCUUUUUUAUUUCUAGUAUGUAUACAUUAUGUAAAUAUUAUAUUAUGUAUGUAUAUAUAUAUACAUUUAUAUAUAUUAUGUACAUUUUAAAAAAAAAUACAUUAUAUUGUUUAUAUGUUAUUAUGUAUAUAUUUUGAUAUCAUUAGUUAUAUAUUUCUUUAUACUAUCUUAUGUACAUAUUCCUAACACCGCUGUUAUUUUUAUAUUUAUACGUACUUAUGUAGCAUGUGUAUAGUUUUUAUAUAUAUACUAUUAUCAUUCUAAUAUAGGUAUAUAUUGUAUAUAUUAUAUAUAUAUUAUGUACUUAUUUUUAAUGUUUUCAUGUAUAUAUUUCUUAAACUAUUCCAUCUACGUAUUUUUGAUCAUCUUGUGUAUAUACAUUUUUCAAAUUAUGUUAUAUAUCUAUCCUUUAAAUACCAUUAUGUAUAUAGUUUUUUAUUUGUUACUAUUAAGUAUACGUAUGUGUAGCAUCAUUAAUAUUUUUAAUAUUAUGUUUUCAUAACUAUAUUAACCAUUAUUAUAUGCGUAUAUAUAUACAUACAUUGUUUCCAUUUCAUAUUUAAUUCUCAUAUUACGUUUAAUACCGCAUACAUCUUUAUCGUUUUUGAUAUUAUUGUCAUAUUUAUUAUUUGCUUCAAUAUGUUUCUAGUUCUUUUAUUUAUUUUUAUUUCAUGUCAAUUUGCUCUGCAUUACUUCGAAAAUCUUAUUCUCAUUUUCUGAUUAAUUUCAAUACAUGAGGCAAAGUAUCGGUUUAACACUAAGUCGUUGAUUUCAUCGCUAUGUUGGGUGAAUCAUAUCGGCUCGUGUUGAAAACGAAACGCCCUUUUAACCAAUCAAAAUUUAAAAAAUUCUCGUCUUUUCAACCGGAUCAUGAUUAAAUCUUACAUUGAACUCGUAUUUUUGAGAAUUAAGAAACGCGUGUUUUACAAUAUACCAAUUUUGGGCGUCGCGAGGGUGCUAAUACUUUCCUCGCGCGUAAUCGAAUCCAAAACCCUAAUUUUUCUCUGGCUUUUGACAUAGACCUAAACUCGGCCUUCUUUUUGUUUUAAAAAAAAGAAAUCUAAUAGGUGUCUGAUCAUACCUUGGAAAAAGGAUCGGUGGCGACUCCCCUUUAUUUUAAAAUCAAACUUCGGUUUUCAAGUUUUCACUAAAUCGCCACAAUUAGCGACCAAGCUAAAAUUUUUUACGUUGCUACAAUGAGGAAAGGCUUUUUGCUCUUCAUCUUGCCAAAAUUGAUCGAAUUUUACAGUCAGUCCCAAGUCCUGGAGCAGGCCUCUAGAAACAUUUUUCUUCCGUUUGUCCCCAACUAAUAGCUUUAGGAUAUAUACAGUUAAUGUCAUAAUUAAGUUCUAUCUGUUUCUAUAUAUAUUAUUGUAAGAGUAUUGUUUCACCAUUAGGAAGCUUUUAUUUUAUUUUCAAUCUUGUUCCUUUAAAUGGGGCACAAGAGUGUCCUUGAUAUGUACUAAUUUGUAAUUAGAAAGGAAUAGUGAUUUCAAUAAAUGUUUCCAGUAACUUGCUAUUAUGGCUUGAAACUCCCUGCAUGUAUAGACCACUGUAAGAUAGGGCACUAAUUCAGUGAUUCAUAGAACAAACUGAGGUAGAACAAAUUGAGAGAGAUCAAUUUACUGAGAAUAUAUCGCUUAGUAUUUCUAUCUGCUGAAUUAAUACAUUGAUGAUGUUUAUAUACUUGUAUAUUAGUAACUGCUCCUUAACCAACUUCAUACCAGACUAAUUAACUGAAUGAUAACAGACUAACAAACUCAAUCUUAAUAUUCUAUCAUUCACCUAGCUUCUCAAUAGGUAAGACCCGAAGUAAAUUUCUAAAUCGAGCAAAAGUAGAGACAGAGAAUGGUUUAGUGAGAAUAUUUGCAACCUGGUCAUAGGUUGGUACUUCACCGACAACAUGUGAGCCACUAGCCACCUUCUCAUGAACAAAAAGUAAGUCAAGUUUGACAUGUUUGAAUUUGGAGUGUAAGAUAAGAUUAGUGGCGAUAGCAACGGCGCUGGAGUUGUCACACCAAACAGUAGGAGGAUUAGCAGAACUAAUAUGUAAUUUUGUGAGCAGAGAACUUAACCAAGCAAUAUCACUGGUAGCUGCAGCUAAGCUCCGAUAUUUAGCCUCAGUCGUGGAUCGAGAAACAACUUGUUGUUUCUUGGAGCACUAUGAGAUAGGGGUAUGACCAAAGUAGACGCAAUGCCAUGUCGUAGAACAGCAGUCAUCAAAAUCGAGACCCCAGUUGGCAUCAGUAUAACCAACUAAAGAUAGUCUGUCGGAUCGAUGAAAGACCAACCCAUGAGUAAUAGUGCCAUGUAAAUACCUCAAGAUACGUUUUAAUGCUACCAGAUGAACUGUAAUAGGAGCAUGCAUGAAUUGACAAACACGAUUAACCGCAUAUGCAAUAUUUGGCUGAGUUAAGACCACAUAUUGAAGAGCACCAGCAAGGCUUCAGUAUUCAGUAAGAUCAACAAGCAGAUCACCCUCAUCUUUAGACAAAGUAGAUGAGUUAACCAUCAGCUUAUGAACACUCUUUGCGUUCGCCAGAGAACACCUGUCAAGUAGAUCCCGAAUGUACUUGCGUUGGCAUAAGUGGAGACUUCCCGAAGAUGACCGACUAACUUCAAUACCCAAAAAAUAAUGGAGGUCGCCCAUAUCCUUUAGAGAAAAUUUGUUGUGGAGCUACUGAACAAAAUAAUUUAUUUUAUCAGUCGAACUUCCAGUAAUAAUAAUAUCAUCCACAUAGACCAAAACAUAAAUGAUGGACUUGGUGGUAAUUUUAACAAACAAGGAAGCAUUAGAUUUUGAUAAGACAAAACCAGUAGAAAUAAAGAAUUGUUUCAAUUUGUCAAACUAGACACGAGGAGCUUGCUGUAAUCCAUACAAUGCCUUUGUUAGACGACAUACCAAAGGCUCACUAUUUUGUCCAUAUUGAACAUAACCUAGAGGUUGUUGCAUAAACACUUCAUCAAUGAGAUCUUCAUUUAAAAAGACAUUGUUGACAUCAACUUGACGGAGUUGCCACCCAUUUGACACAGCAACAGAUAAUAUGGUCCGGAUAGAAGUAGGUUUGACCACCGGGCUAAAGAUUUCCUUGAAGUUACAUCUAGGUACUUGUGAACAGCCUAUUGCUACCAAUUGUGCCUUUCGUCGAUCAACUAACCCAUCAGGAUUCUUCUUGUUUUGAAAAGCCAUUUACACCCAAUUUUUUUCCAACCAGGAGGUAGAGCAACAAGUUCCCAGGUAGAGUUGGCCAGUAAAACAUCAAAUUUAACUUGAACUGCCAAUUUCCACUUUUUAUGAGCAAGAGCUUCCCCAACAGAUCGUGGUUCAAAAUCUACAGCUUCCACUGACAAAAUCUUGGGUUUAAAAAUUCCUACCUUAGACCUAGUAACCAUAGCGUGAAUAUUUCUCAAAGGAAAAGAAGUAAUAUUUGGAGACACACUAGUUUGAUCGAUUAGACUAGCUUCUACAGACGGUAUUGGAAGACAAGGUUCUCAUGGUCAAUACCUACUUCAGCUGACGAUCCAACCGAGAUGGGCUGUCUUGAACUGUACGCAUCUAGUGACCCGACUAAUACAGACUACACGAGAUUGCUGCUUGGAGUAGGAGGCAGAGAUACAACAGGGGAUGAAAUAAUGGUACUACUGGGUUCUGCGGUGGAUCGGACAAUGGAGGGCCGAGCAAAAGGAACAUAUGUGGGAUACUGGAAGACGACUGAACAGUGGCUAGAGCAGGUGAAGAAAACAAGAAUCGUCAUUCAUUAAACACAACAUGGUGACAAACAAUAACUUUACCAUCUGGUGUGAAAUAAUGAUAUCCCUUAUGUUGAGAGCUAUACCCUAAAAACAUACACGGUUGUAAAUGAAAAUCCAACUUAUGUUGCAUAAAAGGACACAAGUACAGAAAGCAACAACAACUAAACACCCUUAAGUGACUUUUCAAGACAAGAGUGGGCAGAUUAUUGAUAAGGUAAACAACAUUGCGGAAUGCAUAGCCUUAGUAAUCCAUAGAUAAAUUGGCCUAAGCCAAAAGUGUAAGACCAGUUUCCACAAUGUGCCUGUGUUUACGCUUAGCAAUCACAUUCUAUUCUAAAGUAUGAGAGCAUGAAAAACGAUGAAGAAUUCCAUAACUGGUCAGAACCGAUGUAAAACUCGAAACUCACCGCCCCAAUCACUGUGAAAAUUUUUAAUAUUUUUCCCAAACUGAGUGAUGACCAUCUUCUAAAAAUGAAGAAAUCAUUUAACUGCUUGAGAUUUUCGUUUAAUCAGAUAAACCCAAGUAAACUGACUACACAUGUCUACAAACGAAACAUAAUACAAAUUACCCCUACAGGCAACAAGAGCUGGUCCCCACAAAUUAGAAAUAACCAAUUCAAAUAAUUCCAUAUAUUCAGUGAUAGAAUGUGAAAAGGGCAAUUUAUGUGAUUUUCCUUUAUGAUAGGCAAUACAAACGUUAUCAAGACAUUUUUUAUUGGAAACAAUUCAAAACUUAUCAAGAACAAGUUUAACAACUGCAAUAGAAGGGUGACCAAGUCUCUUAUACCACAACGUAAAAACAUCAUUAGCAGAAGAGCAAUCUUGAAUCCUGGUGUUGUGAAUAGAAAGAACUGUAUCAGAUGGAAUGGACAAACCGACCGAGAAUUGAUAGAGACCAUUACGAACUUGACCAUCAGGAAAAUUUCCUGUGUUUGGAUGUCCUUAACAACACAAUAAGAUGGAUGGAAUUCAAAAAAUACAUUAUUUUCAUUAGCAAACUGAGAGAAAGACAUAAUUUUUUUUUGAAUGCUUGGCAUGCACAAAACAUUAGAGAGAUUUGAUAACUUCUUCUUUGUAGGAAAAAUAUCAUUUCCAAUAGACGGAAUUUUAGUGGAGGCCCAUUCCCCAUUAAAAGAGAAGAAGUACCUGAAUAUGGAGUGGACUUAUUUAAACCAGAAGCAUCUUGACAGUCAUGAUGAGUAGCUCCGGAAUUUGGAUACCAUGACGAAGUCCCUACCGACACAGGAAUAUAUAAAUCAGUAUUAUCAAAGUUGUAAUCAUAUUGAGUGGUCGGAGAAAAAUCAGAGGCUAGAAAAUUAGGGAUUCGAGGUAGCCCAACACACUGGAAAGAGUCAAAGCAAACCGUACUCGUCGUUUAGUCCGCCACCGAACUUCUGGACCAUUAUUUUGCACAGAGCCUUCAAGGUUAACAUAAUUAUCAUUAGGCCCAAGGGAACUUAGUAAUUUUUUGCUAGCAGUGGCCUGCCCACUAUUCUGUCCACUAGGACCAUUCGGCCCAAGACACUGGCCACUAUUCGGCCCAGGGCACUGGCCUGCAUCACUUGGCCUAUGUAUCACAACAAAUGGUCUAUCAUGGCGUUGGCCCAAAUCGCGCCCAAAAUCACACCCCAAGGCACACUACAUGUCAUGCCCUAUGUGCGGUCUAGCAUAUGGACCAUAGGCAUCAGGUGGGCUACCAGCAGACCCAAACCAAACAUCAUGUGGUCCACUAGCAAGCCCAGCUCCGUGACCCACUUCAUUAGGGUAAGCUUGUGGCAGAUAAGAGCCAUUCUUUCGGUAGUAUGGCCAUGCUCCCCACGAAUUACCAGCAAACCCAGAACCACCAAAAAGACCAGAUCGGCCAGAAAAAUCACCCCAUGCAGCCCUUGACCAUCAUGCGCAGAGAACAACCACGUCGUGGUUGAAGCAUUUGGGCCAUUGUAGUUACAGUUGAAACGAUAGAAACAACACUGCGCCAAAUGACCGAAUUGGCUACAGAUCUGACACUAUGUCCAAGGACGAAAACCACGCCUACGCGAACCAAUCGUGGAACGCCCACCACGCACGUCACACAUAUCAGAUUCGGCCACCGCUGGAAUCGAAGGAGCUUCAACCAUGCGGGCAUGCAUCGGGACAUCACCGCGCACCGCUCGCAUCUGUCGACUUUCAAAUUCCAUUAGAACGUCGACAAGCUUUUGGAAAGGAAGGGUCUCCGAGGAGAACGAAGCUAAUGUCAACACUGCAUCAAAAUCCAACGAAAGACCGGUGAGGAUAACCUCAAACUUUUUGGCUUCCGAAACAGCAGAUCUAGAGGCUGCAUAUAUUCUUGAUAAAGUGCAGAUCUUGUUUUAUUCGAGAUAUCUUAGCACCAGUGAAAGCAACGAAAAGCCGAUUCGCUGUGCUCUAGAUUUCUCAUGCAGAUUUAGCAGUUGUAAAACAUGAUAACAAAGAAGUGCUAAUUGUGGAAAGGAGCGAAGAGGCCAGUAACUUAUCUUGUUGGGUGAACACGGAUGCAUCUGGAUUCAGAGUAAGAGCACCAUCCGGAGAUGCCACAAAUCUAGGCAGAGCAAGUAAUGUGCCCUCCAAAAAGCCUUGCAAUUCAUAUCGUUCCGUUAUUAAACGAAUAUGUUGUUACCAUUGGACAAAAUUGCUUUCAUCUAUUUUUACUAUGACAUGCCGAGGAAACGACUGUAUCAAGCGAGAGCUGGAAAACGAGAGAUUAAUAUGAUUAGUCGAAGAAGAAUAUGUGGAAUUUGCCAUGAAUCGUUAGCGAAAGCAGGUACCAAGAACUAGGUGGCUGAUACCAUGUUAGAUAGGGCACUAAUUCACUGAUUCAUAGAACAAACUGAGGUAGAACAAAUUGAGAGAGAUCAAUUUACUGAGAAUAUAUUGCUUAGUAUUUCUAUCUGAUGAAUUAAUACAUUGAUGAUGUUUAUGUACUUGUAUAUUAGUAACUGCUCCUUAACUAACUUCAUACCAGACUAAUUGACUGAACGAUAACAGACUCAAUCUUAAUACUCUAUCAACCCCCAACAUAUUACUCCAUAAAUUGUUAUUUUCUUGCGUACAACCAUCUGCAAUUUGCUUAAUUAAGCACAUGUUCAAUGAAUGUAUCAAAGAUUAAAGACUAAAGAGUAGUAUGCAAUAUGAAAUCGACAUAUAAAUGAGCAGUAAACAGCUUAGAAAAUGGCUAGUGGAUUGAAUCAGCUGACUAGAUCUCUUAGAGCAGACCUGUUGAGAGUGAUGAUCAGCAGCAUGAGAGGUAGCUUCUUUUAAGUUUACUUUCUACAUUUUGCGAUAAUCAACAGCAUGACCAAAUCAUAAUUUUUAAAUACGAGAAAUGGUUGACUAAUGAUAUAUUUAUUAAAAAUUAUUAUUGCAGGCUGUUGCAGUACUCUUACUCUAAAGAUUCAAACCACUAAUAUGAGCAAUCAAUUUUCAUUCAUCACCCCAUGUUUUGUGCAAGGCCUAUAUUAUGCAACUUGGAUAUUUGAUGUAUGUGUUGGAUAUAAAUAUAUUUAAUAUGGGUAUACUUAAUUAUUUCGGAUCAUGUUUUCAGUGAUAUCCGAAUAAACAUUUUACACAAAUAUUUAAAGGAAAUGAAAAAUUGUAUGGCUGAGAAAUACCCAACUAAACUCUCAAUGAAGCUUCCCUUCCCUGCAUUAUAGACACUUCUCAUCAAAUAACUUUUCAGGGUUUUCAAUUAUAUAUGGCAUAUCAUCUAGGCCAGUUAAAAGGUGACCCUCACGUUUGUCUUUCGUGCAGUGUGCUAUAAAUAAUUGAGCUUGUUAGCCGACCAAAUUCCACACCAAUAGUUCAUGCAUGUAACCCUACUUCUGCAACCUCAGCAAUAAUACGAUUCCUAAAUAUAUAGAGAAAAGUUAUUUCUUGUAAUGGAAUGAAAUUUUGACGGAAUUACGUUGAAAAGAUAACGCACUAAGACAACUUUUUACUUAGAUAUGGUAAUUUGUGUAUUGUGUAUUUUCUGUAAUUAUGUUUUAAGUAUUAUAUAUUUAUAUAAUUCAAAGAUUAAUAAUUUAUUUUAUAUAAAUUUUGACAUAUUCAUAUUAUUUUUUCAUGUUAUAUUUUAGAUGUAUUUUUUAUUUUAAGUGUGUAGAUAAUGAUUUAUGAAAUUGGAUCAAAUUGUUCCAUAAAUCAAUUUGAUAGGUGUUAAAUGUUAUUAAUUGGUGACAAUUGAUUUUGGGACCAUGAAUAAGGAAUUGAAUAUCGAUUGGUAAAAAAUUGAUUGAUUUGGUAUUUUUAUUUUAUGAUGAAUUUUUUGACCUAAAAUAAAAAAAAAAUCUCAAAAUCCAAAUUUUUUCUUUUCUUUCUACUAAUGCAUAUUUUUUUAAAACUAAAUCCAUGCUAUGGUGAUGCCUCAGCCCCCCCCCCCCCCCCCAAAAAAAAAAGACAAAUGAAUUAAAAUAAUUAUAAAAAAAACACCACAUUACCCUAUUUUUUAAACCUAAAUUUCUAAUUUUUAAUGUUGUAAUGACAAAUCAAUUGAACCAAAGAUUAAUGAUCUGUUCGGGUGAGUGCUUUAGUAACGGGGGGAAGCUGUCAUGUUCGGUUUUUAUGUUCUGCUUUCAGCUGAGUUUUUGUCACAAGGUCUGGUAAUAAAAUCUCCUAAAGAAUGAGCCAAAAAAGCAAAUGUGUAGUUUUUGUUUAAGUGACCAAGGCAAGCAACAACCAAUAAAUUAUGAACAACACGGCAAGCAAACCAUAUACUUGAUCACAUCAAACCUUUUUUAUAUGAGAAGAAAAUUAAUGGAAUUAGUGUUGACUGAUGUCUCAAUUUAUAUUCCUAGAAGUCAACUCAUGUAAUAAUCCAUCUCUUUGUGGCAAAGAAAACUGCUCUGAAGUCAUCAGCACAGACCACUUUAGGAACAAUUACACUGAUGUUUGUCAACUUCAUGAACAUAUAACAUAAAAAAAUUGUCACUUUCUCAAGGCUUAGCAACUAAAUAAAAGCACCAUUUUCCACGUAUCUUACCUUAUUCGGAAUCUAGAAGUUUAGGGUUGUAUAAAGAAAGAAAUAGCAAUUCCUGAUUAUGAAAUUCAUGCAAGGUUCACCUACUUUCCAGCUAGUGGUGCAAUAACAGCCCUCAUUUUGCCCUGAUAAAAGAGUGAUUUAAAAUAUUUACACUGAUUCACAAGGACUUAGCUAGCCUAUAUCCAUUGGCUAAAACAACGUAUUUCUACACUGAAUAACACAUUUACUCCUAGGCCUAUAUCCCAUUGACAAACUUUGUUUUCAGAUCUCCUGUAGUCCUCUAGAUCCUUGAUCUAUGAAAAUAAAAGCAUUGUUCUAGUAAGUAAAGUGGGGAGAAUAACAAACUUUAACUAUUAACACCAUACACACACACACACACAAAAAAAAAAAAAAAGAGUAGAAGGAAAUGGUGUUUGACCCUUGCAAGAUAUUGGUGAUCAGAGGGGAAGAAUCCAGUUAGUCCCCCAAGUAUUGGUGGACAUUAUUGCAUGAAGUUACUUAUAACACAUGCAAGCUGGUAUACAGGCAGGGUAGUUAAUAUUUACCUAACCCAAUUUCCAUGAAUCUCUGAUAUGAUGUCAUGCACAAAAUUACCCAUACAUCCUUUUCAUUCAUUGCAAACAUGCUGAGUUAGCCAACAGGGGUCCCUCCAUUCUUAUAUAUAUGCCUCACAAUACAACUAAUUUGUCAUACAAGGCUCACUUCUCCAACAACAGGCAGAGAGAAUAUAUUCUAAAAUGGCUCGUUUAACCCUUCUAUUGUUUAUCCUUAUUGUCGCUUUGAUCUUCCAUUCAACAUGUUUUGAAGCUAGAAAGCUUUUGAGUAACAUUGAGAAGAAACAAGUUCCUUCAUUUCAGGGUAAUUUUGCUGGAAUCACGCUUGCCAAGGAGACUACAAAAAUGUUUCCCGCUAGUGAUGAUGAUAAAGGGCAUGCAAUGGCCAAUAAUGAAAGGCUGUUCGCCAUUCAUCUAAGCAAAAUUGAUAGAAUAUUACAGUCCUCUAACCCAAGUCCUGGAGCCGGUCACCACUAAAAUGGAAUUAUUCUCCCAUUGUCCCCCACAUUAUAUGUAGCUUUAUCAAACAGUCGUGGUUAUAAUUUCUUGAGGCCUUAAUUUUAUUAAUAUAUGUAUACAAUGAAGCUUACUAUGAAUGAGAAAUAAAAUUCAUGAUCAUACAUGUUUCACAUUGUUCAUCUCCAUUUAAUGCUUUCACUUUCUUGAUACUCUCUUUAUGAGCCAAAAAUAUUAAGCUUUUUCAUGAGUAACAAGAUACCUUUUUCAGAUCAAACAGUACAGGCCAAUUGAACAAGUUUCAAACUUCGAAAUAUUACAAAUCUAUGGAAAAAUAUGAAAACAGAAGCAGAAGCAGAAAAGGACUUACUGAGUGUUAGAAAAAUGUGAAGUAAUAAAAAUAAACUUUGAGGGCCUGAGACACUUUUUAAGUCUUUAUCAUGACAUCUGGGUAGUAUACAAGUUUAAAAUGUCCAAAGUAGAAUAGUGAAAAUUUAUCAAAAUUUUUUUUUAUAAAUAGAAAAUGUAAAUCUAUUACUUUUCAUUACUUGUUAUGUUGUUUUUCCAAAAUGUUACAGACCAAUUUUACCCACAAGCCCAAUUGAACUCACAACCCAAUACAUUACCUAAAUCCCUUAACUAUUCCUAAAUACUAACCCAAACCCCAAAUACAUUUUAAACCCAUCAGCCCACUUAUAUCAAACCCAAUACAAUAAACCCAAAACCCAAUAACCCUUAGCCCAACCAGAAAAGAACAAACCCUAGCUCCUACUUGCCCCCUCACUCAGCGCCGCAACUACCCUCCCCACCUUCUGACACCACGCCACCGACGUCAGCCCACCGGCCACCAACUCUGCAGCACUGUUCAACCACCCUGCAAGCAGAAUGACAAGACAUAAAUUAUAAAGAAACUUUACAGAGGGUUAUAAAAAACCGAAUGAAAAUUGUAAUAGGGGGAAUUUUGCUAUCAAUACAAAAAGGGAAUUUUUUGUUUUCAUCAAUACUAGCAGAUUAAAACCAAAAGCAGUGGUCUCAAUAAGAUAAAAGUAAGAAAAAAGCAUUGAGCACAAACCCAAAAUCUCAGAAAACCGAAACUGAAAGCUAAAGGUAACUUCUUUUCUUUUUUCUUUUUAGCCGAAUCCUCCAUCUAUAUUCGUAUACACAUAAAUAUAUAAUAAAUAGGAAAUGAACAGUACUUCUUAAAAAGGUAAAAAAAGGAAAAGAAAAAAAGGGGAAGUUUUCAUACCUCCGACCACUGUGCAUGGCGGUCGCCGGCGACGGAAGCGCGGUGGGGCAAUGACCGGACUAGGACCGGCGCUGGAGCCCCAGCAGAGAAAAAAUGAGCUCCAUUUUCUUUUUUUUUUCUUCAACACGCACAAAUGACUGAUUUUUCAAAAAAAUUUAACUUUUAUAGGGGUCCGGAACGGCGUCAUUUUAGGCCCUGCACUUGAGCACUGAAACGACGUCAUUUCACUUGGCCCGACCAGAUUCGACCCGAACCCGCUUCAGGAUCCACGUGUUUUUAACUCAAGGGGCUAUUUGCGCAAUCGAUCCUUCCGCAUUUUUGGUAUUUUAAAUCAAGUUUAUAUGUAUUUAUAAAUUGGCCCUAAAAUUUAAUCUGGUUUGUAAAUUAAUCCCUCCUACUGCGCAGCGCUUUGAAAAAUUCGUAAUAUUGCGUUUUUGAUCCUCCUUAGUGUUGCCCGUGUUCAAAUAGGGCCUUUCUCAUUAUUUUCUUUUUAAAUCUGCCCCACAACUUUAUUUUUAAUUUAAUUUUAGUCAUUUUUUCGUUUAUUUUCAUUUCUUCGUUAAAUAUUCUUGUUUUUUUUAUAUAUUAUUAUUAUUAUUAUUAUUAUUAUUAUGAUAUGUUAGUGUAUACUCUUAUUAUAUGCAUAUAUAUACAUGUAUUUGUAUUUAGUAUUUUUUUAUCCACUUUAUUGUAAUAUUUUAUUAAUGCUUUUAUAUUUCAAUAAUAUUAUUAUUAUCAUUAUUAUUAUCAAUAUUUGUAUAUGGUUUUAGUAUAUAGGUAUAUAUAUAUUUUUACGUAUAGGUUAGUUUUUAUUAUUUUAUUUCAAUAUCUUUUUUUUUGUAUUUGUUGUCGUAUUUCAAUAUUACCCUUAUUAUUAUUAUUAUUAUUAUAUAAUGUUUAUUUUUGUUUAUGUAUUUAGAUUUAAAUAUGUAUUAUUCUUACUAUAUUGUAUUGUCAUUUUUUUGUAUUUUAAUACUAUUACUAUUAUAAUUAUUAUUGUUAAUAUAGUGAAUGGUUUUUGUCAUAUGUGUAUAUAUUUUUAUGUCAUCCUUCUUAUUAUCAUUAACCUUAGUAUAUGUCUUUUUAUAUAUCUUUAAUAUAUAUAUAUAAGUACAUAUUCAUGCAAUAGUGUAAUAGUUUUCUUCAACGUCAUUAUUUCCAAUAUAUAUAUUUUAUGUAAAUAUUUUAGUGUCGUAUUAUAUAUGUAUUUUUUUAUGUAUUGCGUGUGCGUACUUUUAAUAUUGUAUUUCUACAUUUCAUACGAAUACUAUAUUACAUUUUUACAUAUUAUAUCGUGUAUAUAUAUUUUUCAUAUAUAUUAUGUACAUACGUUUUCAAUAUUCAUUUUAUACGUAUAUAUGUAUAUAUUAUGUAUAUACUUUAACAUUACUAGUUACUUAUAUAUGUUUUUAUCACUUCAUGUAUAUUUCAAAUAGUAUAUAUAUAGUAUAUUUCUAACAUUAUUACUAAUUAUAUUUAUAUAUGUAUAAGUAUAUAUUAUGUACAUACUUUUAAUGUCAUUUUACAUAUGUAUAUUCAUCAUGUUCUCGUAUUUGAUAUUAUAAUUAUAUUUAAUCUUGCAUGCAUUGUUAGAGUUUUUAAUAUUAUUGUCUUAUUUGUUAUUUGCUCCAAUAUAUUUCUAGUUCUUCCAUUUAUUUUUUUUAUUUCAUCUCAAUUUUUCUUUGCAUUACUUCGAAGAUCAUAUUCUUGUUUCCUAAUUAAUAAUCAAGGUAACGAACCGAUUUAACACAAAGUCACUGAUUUCAUCGCUAUGUUGGGUGAACAUCAAUCGAUUCGUGUUAAAACGGUACGUCCUUCUCAAAAAAAAUCAAAAAGAUUGAAAAUUCUUGUCUUUUCAAACGAAUCACGAUUAAAUCUUAUAUUGAACUCGUAUUUUUGAAAAUCAAGACAACAUGUGUUUACAAGAUACCAAUUUUGGGCGUCGCGAGGGUGCUAAUACCUUCCUCGCGCGUAACCGACUCCCGAACCCUAAUUUUUCUCUGGAUUUUAACGUAGAACUAAACUCAGCCUUUAAUUUGUUUUGAUAAGAGAUCUAAUAGGUGUCCAAUCACACCUAGGAAAAAGGAUCGGUGGCGACUCCUUGUUUAUUUCAAAAAACCAAACGUCAAAUUUCAAAUUUUUAAUAAAUCGCCACAAUUAGCGACCAAGCUAAGCCAAAAUUUUUACGUCGCUACAGCUGGCGACUCCAGUAGGGAUCCGCAUUUUUGAGAGUCAAGUCGAAUUAAACGCAUGUUGUCAAAAUUUUCAAAAUUCCUUGUUCAAAUUAAUAUUUAGUUGUGAUCCUAAAAUUGUGUUUUUGAAAAAUCAUGCAUUUGCAUUGUGUUGUAUAUAUUCUUCUAACUUGUUUUGUCCGGUUGUUUUAAAGCUUUAAAUUCUUAUGGUUUUAGUUUUGGUUUAGUUUUUAAAUAAAACGUAAAGGUUUGUGAGUUUCUCCCCACACACCGUGCACGUACAUUCUUGCAUAACAUGAGCUCUAUACCCGGGCUCCGUCCGUUUAAGUAAAAGUAAACGCUAUGCCUUCGUGAGUUAACUCGUCCCUCCGCAUAGGCUAGUGAAUACUUUCGGGUUACAUAUGACUUAUGCUUUCAUGAGUUAACUUGUCCCUCCGCAUAGGCAUAAGUAAAUGUAAUCCCUCGAAUUGAACUCGUGAGCCUGUGAUGGGUUACGAUCAAGGCUUCGUACUAAUCUUAGUAGAUGAUAGUACGGACAAUUCGAGUACCUAUCUAGAACCGAAACCGCAUAUAGUGAACCGUACGAGCCACCUAGUUAGAGCCAUGCCGAACCUCCGCCCAUUAAUAGUCAUUGAAAUAAGUACAUGGGAGAAACGCCUCUUCCCUUUUAUUUCUUUGACACUUACACUUUCUAUUUUGAUUUUCCAUAAUUCAUGUUUAUUGUACUAAUGAAGAUAUUUGUCUGUGUUCUUAUUUUGCAUCAUGCAUUAUAGGCAUCAUAUUAGGAAGGUGUUGACUAGAGAUUGUUUUCCAAAAAAUGGGUUUCUAAUGGAAGAGUCAAUUAUACAAAGAACCGAGAAGAAUGCCGUGGUUCAGGAUUGGUCUAUAAAAACUCAGAAAGAAAAAGGGGAUAGUUUAGUGGAGGGAUGUAUUGCCAAUCUGCCCAAGCAUGUAAUCGUGAAUGUUCGCCAGAAUAACCUUAAAGAUUUGGUUCGGGUUUGGAAUCAGUGAGAUUCGGACACUAGGGGUAUCUUCACCGAGAGAUAUGGAGACAUAGCCAAUUUAAUUACCGUCAACAUAGACGAACGAUUGAUCCAAGCCAUGGUCAGAUUUUGGGAUCCGGCUUAUCAAUGUUUUACCUUCAAUCAAGAAGAUAUGACUCCGACUAUAGAGGAGUACGUUGCUUUGCUUCGUGUUGAAAAUGCGCAAUUCUAUAAAGUAUAUGUGAAGGAGCCUAAGCCAAUAACCUUUAAGAAGAAGUUAGUAAGAUUGACAGACAUGACUGACGCAUGGGUCAAAAAACAGAUAAAGAAGAAGAAUGAAACCAUUUGCAUUCCAUGGUCUUCCCUACGAGAAUUGGUUCUGAACUAUCCUGACAUGUUGAAAAGGGUAAAUCUGUUCGCUUUGGCUAUUUACGGCUUGAUCAUCUUCCCGAAAGUCCUUGGACACAUAGAAGUUGCGGUGGUGGAUUUUUUAAAAAAAUUAAAACAAGGAAUCAACCCUGUCUCAACUAUCCUAGUCGAGACCUUCAGAUCCUUAAACAAUUGUAGGAAAAUAGGGAAAUGACGCUUUAUCGGAUGCGCGCAGUUACUAAAUAUCUGGAUUUUGAGUCACUUCUGGAAAGUAGAGCGCACACCGUUCCAUAUGUUUUCAAAAACAUUUGCCCCGUUGGAAGCUUAUCUCAAGAAAGAAUGGCCAAAGGAAGUCAUUGAACAGCAUUGGGUCUCAGUUUUUCAGAACCUUCACGCCAAGGAUAUAACGUGGAGAGCACUGUGGAUCCGCGCUUCGGUUCUAUUAUACAAGGUUAGAAAUCAAGAUUGGGUACCACUACUCGGGUUAUGGGGAAGAGUUGGAUAUGCCCCGCUAUUAGUCCAAAGAUAAUUUUCUUUACGACAAUUCAUACCCGCCACUGGAGGAUUAGCACAGUCCGAGUUCGCUUUUGCGGGAGAAGGGUAUAUGAAGAGGGUUCGAGACACUGCAAAGUCUUGGAAGAAAAUUCAUUUGAUGGAAUUGGCUCUAUAUGCUGAUACCCUUACCCAAGAUUACGACAUCUGAAGGAAGCAACGGGUGAAUAGUUAGCAAAUCUCGUCAAUAAACUACACCGUCCAGAAUCCUUUCUUAGAGGAAAUGCCGUCUGAGCUAGAAAUGGUAAGACAAGAAUUUGAACAAGAAAAGGCCAAGAUGUCUCGGGACCUUAGUGCUCUUCAAGAGGAAAACUACCAAUUGAAGAUCGAUGUUCAGAUUGAAAGAUCCAGAACCGAGAAAGUGCAAAAAGAGGCUGAAGUCGUAAGAAAUGACUUAAGAGAUCUUUAUCUGGAAAAUAAGAAGUUAAGAAGCACAAUAAAGAAUAGUGGGCUGGGCAAGUCGUCGGCAGAAUGGAAGGAAGAAAUAAGCAACAUAUUAAAGGCGGGAUGGAAUUUUGGAAAGGAAAAGCGAAGAAAGAGGAGGAAAAGGCUGUGCGAGCUAUUAUGGAGCUAAGGAAGAAGAACACCGAAUAUGAAGCUAUGUCUAUCGAGGUAAUGACUAGUCGAUCUAAACGUCAAGAACUAAAAGAGAGGAUACGAUAGUUAGAAGAUAUGCUGCAAGAUCGUCAACAACAGCUAGAUACCCUCUUGAAGGCUUUGGAAGAAAAAGAUAGUCAGUAUGAUAGAGACAUUCGUGCUUACGAAGAAGGCCUUCAAGAAAAAGAAAUGCAACUUAACUUUUUGAUAAAUGAAAUUCGUGGGGUAGCCAUGCACGUGGUACAACUAUCGGAAGAAGCUGAAAUUCUCACUUGCCAAUUCCCUCCAAGUCAAAAAUCAAAUAUAUCAGAGUUCUUAGUACGAGUAAAGAAAUACGGUGAUAUAGCUAGGAAGUUUGUGUAAUGGUUGAAUCGAAAAUGGAAAAAUAUUUUGUAAUGAACUCUUUUGAUGAAUGAAAUGCCUAAAUAGGGGCUAUCUUGAAAUCAACACCCAUUUCUUGCAUAUCUUUCAUGAUUGACAUUCAUUUAUGCAUUCAUUCAUUCAUUACAUAUAUCUAUCCCAUAAUCAUUUGCUAAGGUUAGAAUCAUAUAAUUCGCAGUCACAACACUUCAAAUCUAGAAUCACGCCAUUCGUAUAGAACGCGUCGACAAGCUAGGGCAAUGGAGGCUGAAUUCAAUGAAAGAAUUGAAAGGAUGGAAAGAGUUCAGAGGGAAUUACAAGAGCAGUUGGCCAAGUCACAGCAAGAGACAAGAGACUUGAUGGUGAGGUCUCGAGAAGAAUCGCUUGAACAAAGAGACCAAAUGGCCAAGAUGAUGGAAAUGAUGUCAGCUUUAGUUAAAGAAAAGGGACCCAUGCAGAGCCCUGACAUCGAGGAACCUCGGUCAAUAGUUAAUCACAGUCAAGAUCCGCUCUAUCCCCCAGGAUUCACUUCGCCACAUGCCCACGCAACACAAAAAGGAUACACCCAAGAGGAACCCACAGACCUGAAGCAACGGGCGGUGCCACCUGUUCACACAGGGCAAGGAGUAUUCGUAUUAAACCUAGGAGCUAGUUCUGCUGAUCCACUCAUUCCAGAUUUGGACGAUCCAGCAGAAAUAGCCAAGUUGAAAAUCAUUGAUCACGAGGUUCAAGAGAAGUAUAGGAGCUUAGAAGAAAGACUUAACGCAAUAGAGGGUACUGAAGCCUUCUCUGCACUGAGUGCCAAGGAGCUCAGUUUGGUGCUCAAUCUGGUUCUGCCUCCGAAAUUUAAAGUACCAGAUUUCAAAAAAUACGAUGGCACGAGAUGUCCAAAGACGCAUCUUAUCAUGUUUUUCCGGAAAAUGUCUGGUUACGUGAAUGAAGACAAGCUAAUCAUACAUUGCUUUCAAGAUAGUCUAGUAGGAUCGGCUCUUCGGUGGUAUAACCAGCUUAGUAGGGAAAAAAUCCGAUCCUGAACGGACUUGGCAUCAGCAUUCUGUGAGCAGUACAAGCAUGUACCAGAUAUGGUGCCUGAUCGAAUGACCCUACAAAUGAUGGAAAAGAAACCAGCAGAAACCUUUAGACAGUGCGCGUAAAGAUGGAGGGACGUCUCGGCCCAAGUGGAACCCCCACUAACAAAGACUAAGAUAACCGUUCUCUUCAUCAACACUUUAAAAGUACCAUUCUAUGACAAGCUGGUGGGAAGUGCCACAAAGGACUUUACGGAUAUUGUAAUAUCCGGUGAGCUUAUAGAGAAUGCCGUCAAGAGCGGUAGAAUAAAAGGUCAAGAAAGUUCAAGAAGGGUAGCGCCCAUGAAUAAGAAAGAACCAGAAGCCCAUAUGAUGGGAAUGGAAAAUCGUUAUACCUCUAAUCCAUAUCCAAACCAUCCCCGACCUCGAAAUUAUCCUCCUCCAAAUCAGACCCCUUACUACCAAGCACCACCUCCUUCCUACCCCGUAUACGCCAUGAACAACCAAAGGCCCGUCACCACAUUCCCAUAAAACACUCUACCCGCUCAAAGCCAACCCAGAAAUGAACCAAGACUAACAAGACCCAAUCCCGAAAGACCGCAAUUCACCCCUAUUCCUGUGUCAUAUGGGGAACUGUACCCGAAACUCCUGAAGAAACAAUUAAUAUCUCCCCAUUACAUGGCACCCCUAAAACCUCCAUACCCGAAAUGGUACAAUCCAAAUGCUAGUUGUGCAUACUGUACAAGCCCAAUUUUGGGCCCAAAUAAACAUAACCCAACUAUAAACCCAAAACUUAGCCCAAAACACUAACCCAACCCAAAAAAAUCAAAAAAAUAAAAACCCUAAUCCCACCUACUCCACAACCUUGGCCACCUACUCUACCACCCUUGUUGGCCACCCACAUUGGCCACCUAAACCACCCACCUUGGCCACCUAAACCACCCCAACCACUCCACUUGCUUACAAAAAAAUUAUUGGUAAAAUUUGGCUAUAAAAGCCAUUCAAGACUAUGUUAGAGAGAGAGGUUUUUUUUGUUUUUUGGAGGUUUUUUUUUGUUUUUUUGGAAAGAAGGUUGGUUUUUGUUUUUUGGAAAGGCUAGUUCUUGGAGAUUAAUCAAAGAUCAAAGCAAAAGAGGUUUCUUUUGUCUAUUCUCAUCUUAAGUUCUUUGUUUGUUUAUUGUUUUCCUUUCAAUUUUAUUUUGUUUUUUUAUACGAAAGUAAAAAUAAAAGUAAGAAGCUUACCCUUAUUUUCAUUACCGAAAAAGGUUUUUUUUUUAGGUUCGGCCGCCGUGUACGGUGGCGCCGAUGGCGGCCCGUGGGGGUCCGUGACCGAAGCAAAGCUGGACCAAUGGCCGGAUUUAGAAAAGAGGGAGAAAGAGAGUUGAGAGCUUUGUUUUAUUUUUUAUUUUAUUUUAUUAUUUUUACUAUUAUUUAUAUUAUUAUUAUUUCUCAUGUAUAUAUUAUUAUUUAUAUUAUUAUUAUAUUAUAUAUGCCCUCUCCAUAUUUAUUUAUAUUAUUACUAUCAUUAUGGUUACUUCUAUUAUUUUUUAUUUCUGACUACUAUUAUUAUAUAUAUAUAUAUGUAUUAUUGUUUGUAUUAGUAUUAUUAUUAUCACCCCUAUUGUUAUUACUUUACUUUUGUAUUCUAAUAUAUUAUUAAUAUUACUCAUAUUUUCAUUAUUUUUGCUAUUACUAUUAUUAUUAUUAUAUAUUAGUGUAUAUUUUUAUGUGUAUAUAUAUAUUUAUAUAUAGUAUUAUUUUUUAUUACUUUAAUUUAAUAUUUUUAUUAUAUUUGCUUUUUGUAUUUCUCUAUUUAUUAUUAUUAUAUAGUAGUGUGUAUUUCUAUUAUAUACAUAUAUAUAUAUAUUUAUAUAUAGUAUUAUUAUUUAGUUUACUUUAAUAUUAUUCUUAUUAUCAUUAUAUCCAACCCAAUAAUAAUUCUUUCAUAAAAGUAAUAUAAAAGUAAUAUUCCGUAUUUGGUAAUUCGAGACAAUCGUGCCCUAACUUACUGAGUUUCGAUUUUCUCCUUUAACCUAAAUAACGGAAUACUCUUUUAAAUCGCGACAUGAGUUUUGAAAAAUGGUUAUUCUCGGAGAUACGAGGUGUUGUGCCCUAACUUACUGGGUAUGGCAUUUUGUUACCUCGAAAUAAGAUUUUUGCAAGUAAAGGCAAUAUUCGGUGUUUGGGAAUUCGAGGGAACGUGCCCUAACUUACUGGGUUUCGAUUUUCCUCGUUCACCUUAACUAACUGAAUAACCUUUUGAAAUACACGAACUUUUAUAUAAAAGGCAAGCUCGCUCUCGAAAAUUCAAGAUGUCGUGUCCUAACUUACUGGAUGUGACAUUUUAUAUUGUGAGACGAGAAGGUCCUUAACAUUUGAGCAUUUUCUUUACAAAGAGGGAUCGUAUUUUAAAUUCUUUCAAGUUUUCAAAUUUUCGACACUAAGACACUAAUUAAUCAACUAGGUACCAAUUUUGGGCGUAUCGAGGGUGCUAAUCCUUCCUCGUGCGUAACCGACUCCCGAACUCAUUUUCUGAUUUUCGUAGACCAAAAAUUAUCGUUUUAGUAAAUCUUAACUUUUAUUAAAAUGAUUAAUUUAAGGUGAUCCGAUCACACCUCAUCAAAAAAGAUUGGUGGCGACUCCUCUAUUCGUUUUCAUUUCCAAAAAUCUAAGUCGAUUCCCGUUUUUUUCAAAAAAAAUGGUUACGACAGCUUGGCGACUCCACUGGGGACUUUUAUAAGAGAGUCAAGCCACAAGUUGAUUAACUUUUGUCUUUUUUCGAAAAUUGAGAAUUUUGUUUUGAUAUACGAUCUCUUCAUUGCGUUUCACCCGUUUUUCGUACUAUUUUCAUCAUUUUAUUCCAAUUUUCUUUAAUCGUUUCAAGUUUUUAUGCAUAUAUCUUCUUGCAUUGCAUUGCAUGACCGUUGUGGUCACACCCUUAAGUGGGAGUGAGAAACUACGCCUUCGUGAGGUUUUCACCUCCGUGCAAGAUAGUGGAUCACUUUCGGAAUACAUCCGUACCUAUGGUUUCGUGAGAUUUUCAUCUCCGUGUAGCCAUAGGAAAAUGUAUUCUCCUGAAUUGAACUCGAUUCAAAUGAGCCUAUAAUGGGUGAGGAUCGAGGAAUAUGCUGGUUCAGGUACCCUUACUCUAGAACCAAACCACAUAUAGAGAGACCUAGGAGCCCACCCUAGGUAGAGCCACUUCGAACCCCUAGUGGUCACCUGAAUUGCUUUAUUUGUUAUUUAUUUAUCCCGCACUAACGUGUUUUAUUUUUGUUUUGUUUAUAAUUGCAUUACAUUACAUCAUCCUAGGAAGGAGGUGUUGAUUCAUAUUUGAUUGCUAAAUAGAACAGUUUGUCAUAAGAAAAUGAAUUUUUUGAUAAAGUGGAUUAUAAUACGGUUGUCUAAAUAUGAUCCAAGUGAGCACAUGAAAGAAGUCUGAUAGCCCGUGAAGAAAUACAAGACUUCGCUUCAUUGCCUGAAGACAGAAACUGACAAAGAUUAUUCGAGAGCCGUCACAUCUUGACCUUCUUAAAGGAGCUGACAAGUAUCACAGUAAUAAGUGAGCAACGAGUCGCAGCCUGGAUCGAGCAAAAAAAGGAGUUAAUAUAGACAUCUCUUGGAGAAUUCGUCAGACUCGACCAUAAGAUCAUGAUAUGAAGAGGAAGAUAGGUGUCUUCUCUUGGAAUACAAGAGAAAACCCGUAUAUGUAGUCCGUUUUAUGUAAAAGAAUUUGCUUUCUAGAAAAGUUGUUCUAAUGAAACUAAAUUUAGAAUCAAUGCCUUCCUUUUUUUUUGUGUUCAUGCAUUUGCAUUACAUUACAUCAAAGAAAAGAAUGUGUUGAUUUGAAAUUCAAUUCCUAAAUAGAAUAGUUUGUCAUAAGGAAACAAAUUUCUUGAUAAAGUAGAUUAUAGUGCGAUCGCCUGAAUAUAGUCCAAGUAAACACGAUGAGAGAAAGCUGGUAGUUUACGGAGGAAUACAUGAUGUAAUUGCCAGAGAUUCAAGCCAACAAAGGCAUGACGAGAGAAAGCUGGAAGUUCACGAAGGAAUACAUGACUUGAUUUAAUUGCCAACGAAGAUUAUCCAAGAGCCGCUACUUUUGAUGAGUAUCAUGGAGAUAAGUGAGCAAGAGAUCGAGGCUCAGAUUAAGCAGCAAGGAACUAGUAAAGGCAUCUUUUAGAGAAUUUACAGGAUUCGACCAUGAAGAAAAGAUCAACGUUUACUUGGACUAUGAAGGGCAAUACCGCAUAUGUAAUCUAUUUUCAUGUAAAGAAAUAUGUUUUCUAGAAAAGUUAUUCUAAUGGAAUUGAAUUCAAGAUCAACAUCUUCUUUUUUUUGCAUUCAUUCCAUACAUUUGCAUUACAUUGAAACAUUUGCAUUAAACUUUCACUAAAGAACCCUGAUUAAACAAAAUUAUUUCAGUUAAUCUAGAAACCAACGAGAAUCAAGCAACCGAACACACCCACUAUACCCGCCGUAAAACCAAAGCAAUGGACCAGAGAUUAGAAAGGAUAGAACAAAUGCAAAGGGAGAUGCAAGAACAAUUACAAGCACAGAUGCAAGAGCAACUGGCUAAGAUACAGUAAGAUAUGAGGGACCAUAUGUUGGAGUCCCAGAAAAGCAUGAUGGACCAAUUAACUCGUCUAUUAGCUGGUGGAUUAAAAAAAGGGAAAAGCCCUUUGAUCAAUGCGGGAGAAGAUAAUGAAGAUCCUACCUACCCUCCGGGUUUUGCCCCAGCGGACGUUCAAACACAACCUGAUGUAUACCCAAGAAGGCCAUCAGUCACAAUCAGGCCUCAACCAUCUCAAGCCGGUGUCUCGGCACAGAUAAAUUAUCAGACUGGUUCAGGCUCUAAUCCGGGGGACAAUCCAACCAACCCUGUGGUCCUCAAUCUCGAUGAAAUGAUAGAAGCAGAAAAGACAAGGGUAGAACUCCCGAGAGAGCUUGAAGAAAGAUGUAGAUGGUUGGAAGAAAAAUUUAAAGAAAUGGAAAGCACCGACUAUCGUGGUGGAAUCGACACUAAGGAAUUAAGUUUGGUUCCAGACCUGGUACUCCCUCCCAAGUUUAAAACUCCAGAAUUUGAGAAAUACAACGGGACUAGCUGUCCCGAAGCUCACAUCACUAUGUUCUGUAGACGAAUGGCAGGCUAUGUCAAUAACGACCAACUAUUGAUCCACUGUUUCCAGGAAAGUCUAGUUGGGGCCGCUUCUAGGUGGUACAACCAACUGAGUCGUAACUAGAUCAGUUCAUGGAGGGAUUUAGCACAGGCGAAGCAGUACAGUCACGUGACAGACAUGGCUACUGAUAGAGUCACGUUACAGAACAUGGAGAAGAAACAAAAUGAGAGUUUCAAGCAAUACGCCCAAAGAUGGAGAGAGGUAGCAACGCAAGUUCAACCACCUCUUCUGGAGAAAGAAACGACCAUGCUCUUUAUCAAUACGCUGAAGGCUCCAUUCAUUAACCACAUGCUAGGAAGCGCUACUAAAAGCUUCUCAGACAUAGUAAUGUUUGGAGAAAUGAUAGAGAACGCGAUAAGAUGUGGAAGGAUUGAAGCAGGGGAAAGUGCUAAGAGAUCAGCCCCGAGAAGGAAAGAGAAUGAUGUGAACAACACGAGUAUGUAUAAUAAGCCAGUCACUACGAGCCAACCAAAGGUGGUAACUACUAGCCAUCAAGGCUUCGCAAGACGAGACUUCAACCCAAUGCCUAACACGGAAAGAUUCCAGUUUACGCCCAUCCCGAUGUCCUACAAGGAAUUGUACCAGAGCUUAUUCGAUGCCCAUGUAGUGUCGCCCUUCUAUCUAAAGCCAAUGCAACCCCCAUUCCCCAAAUGGUAUGACGUAAACGCCCAAUACGAAUACCAUGCAGGAGCCACAAGGCACUCGAUAGAAAACUACACCACUUUCAAGAAACUGGUUGAAAGACUCAUCAACAUGGGCAUCGUGAAAUUUGAUAAUACACCUAGUACAGAAAACCCGUUACCUAAUCAUGGGGAUAAGGGUAUAAAUUCCAUAAUUGAGAGUUCAGGGAAGGAAAUUAAGAUGAAUGUUACAGAAGUGAAUACUCCACUAAAAGAAGUAUGGAAGAAAAUGGUGGAAAAAUGGUUGGUAACAUAGAAUUUAGGGGACAGACACCAAGAAGCAAAAAGUUAUUGCGAGUUCCAUAAUCAAGAGGACCAUGAGAUUCAGAAAUGCAGCGAAUUCAGGGCUCUAGUACAAGGGUUAAUGGAUAAUAAGGAGCUGGAAUUCUUCGAGUAUGUUAGGAACCCAGAAGGAACAGACGUGUGUGCUUCAGAGGAAGGGUCGACGAGAAAUGCUUGUAAAAUCAACCACCCAUUGGUUAUCAUAUCACGUCCGAGAAUAAAUGAAUCCGGGGCACGAGUUGCACCAAAUGUCGUAAUCCAAAAGCCCGUUGCUUUUCCUUAUGAAGAUAGCAAAAGGGUACCGUGGAACUAUAGCUGCAAUGUGACAUUCUCGGGAAAGGAGACCCCGAUUAAUGCAUCAGAGGAAGUUCAAGACGAAGGUUUUUAUACGCGCAGCGGAAGGCGUUAUACCUCAAAUAUAAAAGUCGAGCAGGUUAAAGAAAAAUCAUUAGCAAUUGAGAAAAAGAAAGAGAAGCUGACGAGGCCUAAACCAACUGUUAAUGAAUCAGUGACUGAGAAAGAAGCCAAGAAAUUCUUAAAAUUCCUAAAGCAUAGUGAAUAUAGUGUCGUAGAACAGUUGCACAAACAGCUAGCGCGUAUAUCAGUACUGGCCUUACUUUUAAGUUCCGAAACUCAUCGUAGCGCAUUGAUGAAAGUGCUGAAUGAAACUUAUGUUGCUAACGAUAUCUCUGUGAACAAACUAGACCGCUUAGUCAACAAUAUAAGUGCCAACAACUUCAUAUUCUUCAAUGACGAUGAGGUACCGCCAGGGGGUCGAGGAUCAACUAAAGCUUUGCAUAUCACGACACUAGGGGUAUUGAUUGACAAUGGGUCUGCAUUGAAUGUCCUACCCCUAUUUACGCUGAGUAGGUUGCCAGUGGAUAGUUCCCAUAUGAAGACAUGCCAAAAUGUAGUAAGGGCGUUUGACGGUACAGAAAGGAAAGUAAUGGGGAAGAUUGAAUUACCCCUUCAAAUCGGUCCUAACACGUACGAGGUAGAUUUCUUAGUAAUGGACAUCAAACCCUCUUACAAUUGCCUAUUGGGAAGACCAUGGAUCCACUCGGCAGGGGUAGUGCCGUCAUCAUUACAUCAGAAGCUCAAACUUAUAACGGAGGGUCGAUUGGUGACUAUAAACGCGGAGGAAGACAUCAUUGCAUUUGUUACCAGCAAUGCACCAUAUGUGAGGACAGAUGAUGAAGCCAUAGAAUAUUCUUUUCGAUCAUUGGAAUUUGUAAAUGCGACCUUUUUUGUCGAAGGAAAUAAAGUCCCGACACCCAGACUUUCCAAAACCACAAGAAUGGGACUACAACUGAUGGUUGGGAAGGGAGCCUUGCCAGGGAAAGGACUUGGAAGAAGCCUACAAGGAAGGGUCAAAGUACCUAUGCUCACGGACAAACGGGACUGCUUUGGCUUAGGAUUCAAGCCAGAUGCAAGACAAAAGAAAGAGUAACAAGAGAAGAAAUAAGAAAGGAGAAGAGCGCGAUUGAGCGGGGGAGAAAUCGAAUGGGAACCAAUGAUCUUCCCCCAUAUAUCGAAGACUUUUGUGUCUGGAGAGGUCAUUCACUCCGAGCAGAAGACAUCGGGAAAGGAAAUCUUGGAAGGAAUGAUGGAGAGUUUGGACAUCAACGCCACAUAUAAAGAUGGGACGGGGGUAGAGAAUUUGUUAAGCAUUCGCCCCUAUGAGUCGGGAUGUGUUUUGAAUAAUUGGACUGCGGAAGAGAUUCCUGUAGUCUUUAGAACUAACUCAGAGUAAUGUCUAAAACACACUUAUUGCUCUAGGCCUAGGAGUAACAAGUGUCAUUUUGUGAAAUAGGCUUAUGUUCGAAAUUGUUAUUUCAAUGAAAUGCAUCCUUUUGACUUAUUCCGUGCAAAUAUUCUUUUAUUCUUUCAUUCAUGAUCCUACCAAACAUAUCAUUGUUCUUAGAUUCUCUUGUUCUUUGCAUCUCCCUUCACACCUACAACAGGUCUCCAGAUAUCAAUGAUGCGAGUGACAUUGCUACUAAUUCAGAACCUCUUUUUGAGCGAGAUAUGUGUCUGGAGGGAUCCCAAGACUUUGAGGAUGACGGAGACUGUAACUUAUCCCCUGAUUUGUUAAGGAUGGUAGAACACGAGGAGAAACAGAUUCUACCCCACAAAGAGACCGUAGAAGUCGUAAACUUGGGAGAUGAACUAGAAAUGAGAGAAGUAAAGAUCAGAACUUGCAUCACCACAGAGACAAAACGGGACCUUAUUGAGUUACUCCAAGAGUUCAAUGAUGUCUUUGCAUGGUCAUAUCAGGAUAUGCUUGGGCUAAGUACUGACAUUGUGGUACACAGGCUCCCCAUUAAAGAAGAAUGCAAGCCAGUUCAGCAAAAGCUUCGAAGGAUGCGGCCCGAUGUUCUGUUAAAGAUAAAAGAGGAAGUCAAGAAGCAAUUUGAUGCUGGUUUCUUACAAGUAGUUAAGUACUCGGAAUGGGUAGACAACAUCGGCCCCGUCCCUAAAAAAGAUGGAAAUGUACGGAUGUGUGUAAACUACAGAGACUUAAACAAGGCCAGCCCAAAAGAUAAUUUCCCGUUGCCUCAUAUCGACACCUUAGUGGACAACACAGCAGGUUACUCACUUUUCUCCUUCAUGGAUGGUUUCUCAGGGUACAAUCAGAUCAAGAUACAUCCUGAAGACAUGAAUAAAACCACAUUUGUGACCAUGUGGCGAACCUUUUGCUAUAAAGUAAUGCCGUUCGGAUUGAAAAAUACGGGAGCAACAUAUCAGAGAGCCAUGGUAACCCUAUUUCAUGAUAUGAUGCAUAAAGAAAUUGAAGUCUACGUCGACGACAUGAUCGCCAAAUCUCGAACUGAAGAAGAGCAUGUGCAAGUCUUGAGGAAAUUAUUUUUGAGGUUGAGAAAAUUCCAGUUGAAACUCAAUCCCGCAAAAUGUACCUUCGGAGCCAGGUCAGGUAAACUGCUAGGAUUCGUGGUCAGUGGAAAAGGGAUUGGGAUUGACCCAGAUAAAGUCAAAGCCAUACAAGAGUUACAUCCACCACGUACUCAGAAAGAAGUUCGAGGAUUCCUAGGAAGACUAAAUUACAUCGCUCGGUUUACUUCACAACUAACCGAGAAAUGUAACCCCAUAUUCCGUCUCCCUAAGAAACACAACCCUGGUGGUUGGGACGAAAAAUGCCAGAAGACUUUCGAAAAAGUUAAGAAAUAUUUGUCUAAUGCCCCAGUGUUGACACCACCUAAUCCAGAUAAGCCACUGAUACUGUAUUUGACGGUAUUUGAAAAUUCUAUGGGAUGCGUGCUUGGCCAACACGAUGAAUCGGUAAGGAAAGAAAAAGUGAUAUAUUACCUCAGUAAAAAGUUUACUGAGUGUGAGACGAGAUACUCGUUCAUUGAAAAGUUGUGCUGUGCCUUGAUCUGGACAACCCGAAGACUGAGACAAUACAUGUUGUAUCACACAACUUGGCUAAUCUCUAGAAUGGACCCUCUGAAAUACUUGAUGGAGUCGACUGCCUUAAACGGGAGAAUGGCCCGAUGGCAAAUUCUACUUUCUAAAUUCGAUAUAGCCUAUGUGAACCAAAGGGCCGUAAAAGGAAGUGCGAUAGCAGAUUUCCUAGCCAGCAGAGCCCUAGAGGACUACGAGCCUCUGAACUUAGAUUUCCCAAAUGAAGAUCUAAUGUGCAUAACAACCGCAGAAGAAAACCCUCAAGAAAGUCACCCUUGGAAGCUAAACUUUGACGGAGCAUCAAAUGCCGUGGGUAACGGAAUCGGGGCAGUUCUGGUGUCCCCGAAUAGAGAUCAUUAUCCAUUCACUAGUAAAUUGGAUUUUGACUGCAUGAACAAUAUGGCAGAAUACGAAACAUGCAUCAUGGGAAUACGUGCAGCCAUAGAACGUAAAAUCAAGGUGUUAGAGGUAUAUGGAGAUUUUGUCCUAGUGAUUUAUCAACUCAAAGGUGAAUGGGAGACAAGAGACCCCAAAUUGAUCAAUUACCGGAGGUUGAUCCUUGAGUUAAUUAAAGAGUUUGAUAAUAUUGUCUUCUACUACCUCCCACGAGAAGAAAAUCAGAUGGCUGACGCCCUAGCAAAUUUAGCUUCUAUGAUUAAGGUGAACCAAUCAGAGGAUGUGAAACCAAUCCAAAUGAGCAUUUACGAGGCCCCGGCUCAUUGUUACAACCUGGAAGAAGAAGAGGAAAAUGAUGAUCACCCUUGGUACCAUGAUAUCCUACGAUAUGUGAAGAAUCGUGAGUACCCCCACCAAGCUACUGAGAACGACAAGAGAACGUUGAGAAGACUGGCCAGUGACUAUGUCUUAGAUGGGGAGAUCCUAUACAAAAGAAGGAAGGAUCAGGUACUAUUAAGAUGUGUAGACGCCAUUGAGGCUAAGAAAAUCAUGGAAGAAGUCCAUGAGGGCGUCUGUGGGACACACGCUAAUGGUUUUACAAUGGCCAGGCAAAUUAUGAGGUUCGGUUAUUAUUGGUCCACCAUGGAAGGAGACUGUAUUAACUACGCCAAAAGAUGUCAUAAGUGCCAAAUCUAUGGAGACAAGAUUAAUGUACCUCCCUCACCUCUGCAUGUCAUGACUUCGCCAUGGCCUUUCUCGAUGUGGGGCAUGGAUGUGAGUGGGCCAAUUUCGCCAAAAGCUUCAAAUGGGCAUCGUUUCAUCUUUGUGGUCAUCGAUUAUUUCACUAAAUGGGUGGAAGCCGCUUCAUAUGCCAAUGUCACUAAAUCAGCAGUUAGCAAGUUCCUGAAAAAGGAAAUCAUCUGUCGAUAUGGAAUGCCAGAAAGGAUCAUAUCUGAUAACGUAUUGAAUUUGAACAAUAACACGAUAGCGAAUGUCUGCAGUCAGUUCAAGAUCAGACACUACAACUCGUCAUCGUAUCGCCCGAAGAUGAACGGUGCAGUCGAAGCAGCCAAUAAGAACAUCAAGAAGAUUGUAGGAAAGAUGACAGAAACUUAUAAAGAUUGGUAUGAGAAGCUACCAUUCGCCCUCUAUGCUUAUCGAACGUCUAUCAGAACUUCUACUGGGGCAACGCCUUUCUCUUUAGUCUAUGGAAUGGAGGCAGUUUUACCUAUCGAAGGGAAUGUGAGCACAGUGGGAGAGGACAAACGACAAAGUAGAAGAUGGGUUUCUGAAAUAAGAACACCUCUGGAGAAAAUCUGGGAGGUGCUAGUUGAAAAAGGGUUGCUCUGUCAUCUUAACAGAGUAUUUGAGGGAAGGAAUACAAAAGAUCAAAGUUUUUGCGAAUUCCAUGGUAUUGAGGGGCACGACAUUCAAACUUGCCAAGAGUUCAGGAGAUUACUACAAAAUAUGAUGGACAAUAAAGAGAUUGGGAUCUUUUAUAAAGGCGAAGAGGCCAAUAGAGGAGAAAUAUGCGCCUCUGAACAUCAACCGUCAGGUUUCCCAUAUAGCGUCAACCGACCGUUAAUAAUUUAUUAUAACGCGAAGAAGGAGUCGGUGAAACCAAAAGUGAUAAUCGAGGUACCAUCUCCUUUCCCCUACAAGGACGAUAAAGCAGUACCAUGAAAAUAUGACGUCAAUAUCGUCACACUUGAAGAUGAAAAAACCAAACCUAUGACUGGAAGUGUUGGGGAAGUAGGUCAUUUCACUCGUAGUGGAAGAUGUUAUUCGAAAGAGGUCGAACCAGUGAUGAAGAACAGUGACUUGAAACAGAAAGAAAAAGCACCAAUGCGUGCGACCGAAGAUGAGUAUAAAACUAUGCCUGAGCAAGAAGCUAAAAAGCUUGUGAACGAGGAUGAAGCACAGGAAUUCUUAAAAUUUAUUAAGCACAGUGAGUACAACGUGGUGAAACAAUUGAGUAAGCAGCCAGCACGAAUUUUGGUAUUAUCUCUGCUGUUAAAUUUAGAACCGCACCAGAACGCCUUGUUAAAGGUGUUGAAUCAAGCUUACGUGGCAAACAAUAUAUUCGUUGAGAAGCUUGACAGAUGAGUGAAUAACCUAAACACAGAUAAUUUCAUUUCUUUUAGUGAUGAUGAAAUACCGCCCAAUGGUAGAGGCUCAGUGAAAGCAUUGCAUAUCACAACCCGUUGUAAGGGCUAUAUAAUACCGAACGUGCUCAUCGACAAUGGAUCGGCACUCAAUGUCAUGCCUUUGGCCACACUUUCCAAGAUUCCGAUGGAUUUGUCCUAUCUAAGGCCCUGCUAUUCUACAGUAAGGGCAUUCGAUGGAACAAGAUGAGAAGUCAUGGGAAAAAUCGAGAUCCCUCUAGAAGAGGGUCCCUAUAUAUACGACGUUGAGUUUCAAUUCAUGGACAUUACACCAUCAUACAAUUGUCUCUUGGGAAGACCUUGGAUCCAUUCUGCUGGAGCAGUCCCAUCAUCCCUCCAUCAAAAGGUGAAAUUCAUCAUGGAUGGCUGUUUGGUCAUCGUCGAGGGAAAAGAAGAUAUUGUAGCAUCUAUUUCUACCGAUGCACCAUACAUUGAAGUGAGUAAAGAUGCUUUAGAAUGUUCUUUCCGAUCCUUUGAAUUUGUCAAUGCCACAUUCGUCGCUGAGGGAAACAGAAUUCCCACGCCAAAACUGUCAAGAAAUACCAGGAUGGGUGUCAAGCUGACUGUAGGAAGGGGAGCUCGAGCGAGAAAAGGUUUAGGGAGAUAUCUGCAAGGAAUAGUCAGGGCUCUAAAGCUAGUACACCACAAGGCCCGAUACGAUUUGGGGUUCCAGCCAGACAUACGUCAAAGAAGAAAAAAAUGGAAGAAGGACCAAUAAAGAAGGACCGCAAGAACCUUAGGCCGAGAAUUGGAAUGGAAGCCAAUAACGUACCCUCCUUUGUCAAAAACAUUUACAUCUGCUGGGAUGAUAUACCUCGGACAGGAUAAUACACGAAGCACGCUGUUAUUAAUUGAAAGGGGUCUUCAGAAUGUCAGUAUAAAUGUCAUUGACAAAGGAAGUGGGGCAAUUAAAGAUGUUUCAAUGAUACGCCCUUUGUCCUCCUGGUUUCAUGUUGAACAAUCAGACUGCCGAGGACCUUCUUGUAGUUUAUAAGUCUUCAGAGUAAUGCUCAAACAUUAACCCUCUAUUGUGUUCUUAGAUAUAAUAGAAUUCUUUUAUAAGAGCUUGCAUUCACUUUUUAUCAUUUAAAUGAAUAUCAAUGAAGAUGCAUUUUGUCACGAUCUUUCGCAUUAUCACUAAUUUCAUGAUCAUCUUUUCAUUUCAUAGCCUAUUUGUACAUUUGCCUCAUACCAUGCCAUAACAUUUCGUUUGUUGGUUCCAAUACUGGGAUGCCCCUCUAUAGUUUCCUUUUCUAUUCAACUUUCAGGUGCUUAGAUAUCAAUAGCAUGAACAAACCCGUUACGAUUCCUGAAAUUGAUUUUGAGAAAGCUAUUUGUUUAGGAGAAUUUGAAGUCGAAGAAAAUGCUGAAGACUAUGUCUCGUCUCUUGACUUGCUAAGAAUGGUGAAGCAAGAGGAUAAACAGAUUUUGCCUCAUCAAGAAUUUGUUGAAACAAUAAACUUGGGAACUGAAGAAAAGAAGCAAGAAGUGAAGAUUGGGACCUCUAUUUCAGAGGACACCAGGCAUAAUUUGAUUGCUUUUCUCCUCGAGGACAAAAAUGUAUUCGCAUGGUCAUAUCAGGAAAUGCCAGGAUUGGAUAAAAAUGUAGUGGUCCAUAAGCCUCCAUUAAAGCCAGAAUGCAAACCCAUUCAACAAAAGCUACGACGGAUGAGACCCGAGAUGUUAUUGAAAAUAAAAAAGGAAGUCAAGAAGCAAUUCAAUGCUGGCUUCCUACAAGCAUCCAAAUAUCCAGAAUGGGUGGCUAACAUAGUCCUGGUACCAAAGGAAGAUGGCAAAGUACGAAUAUGUGUGGAUUAUCGUGACCUGAAUCGAGCAAGUCCUAAAGAUAAUUUUCCCUUACCACAUAUUGAUACGUUGGUGGAUAACACAGCAAAGCAUUCAUUGUUUUCUUUCAUGGAUGGAUUCUCGGGGUAUAAUCAGAUCAAUAUGGCCCCUGAGGAUAUUGAGAAAACUACUUUCAUAACAAUGUGGGGAACAUUCUGCUACAAGGUGAUGCCGUUCAGAUUAAAGAAUGCCGGGGCAACAUAUCAGAGGGCUAUGGUAACAUUAUUCCAUGACAUGAUGCAUAAAGAAAUAGAGGUCUACGUCGACGAUAUGAUUGCUAAAUCCCGAGGGGAAGAAGAGCAUGUAGCGAACCUGAAGAAGUUGUUCGACAGACUGAGAAAGUUUCAGCUAAAGCUCAAUCCGGCCAAAUGUACAUUUAGGGUUACCUCGGGAAAGUUGCUAGGCUUCAUUGUCAGUGAAAGAGGUAUUGAGGUUGAUCCAGAUAAAAUAAAAGCCAUUCAAGAGUUACUACCCCUGUGCUCGCAAAAGGAAGUUAGAGGAUUUUUAGGGAGAUUAAACUACAUCGUCCGAUUUAUCACUCAACUUACCAACCAAUGCGAACCAAUCUUUCGACUCCUUCGAAAACAUAAUCCCGGAUAAUGGAAUGAGGAAUGCCAAGUGGCUUUUGACAAGAUAAAACGGUAUUUGUCUAAUCCCCCGGUACUAGUACCGCCAAUUCCAGGCAGACCAUUAAUUUUGCAUCUGACAGUGUUCGAAAAUUCAAUGGGUUGUGUAUUGGGGCAACAUGACGAGUCAGGAAAGAAAGAAAAUGUGAUUUACUACCUCAACAAAAAGUUCACUGAAUAUGAGGCAAAGUAUUCGUCCAUAGAAAAAUACUGUUGCGCUCUGGUUUGUGUAGCUCGGAGACUCAGGCAAUAUAUGUUGUAUCAUACGACAUGGCUAAUUUUAAAGUUAGACCCAAUAAAGUACAUGAUGGAAUCACCUGCACUCUCAGGAAGAAUGUCACGAUGGCAGAUCCUUUAUUCGGAAUACGACAUUGCCUAUGUAAGUCAGAAGUCGAUAAAAGGGAGCGCAAUAGCUGACUUCUUAGCAACUCGAAUAAAAGGGAAUACGAGCCAUUGAGAUUUGAUUUCCCAGAUGAAGACUUGAUGUUCAUUACAAAAAAAAGAAUGUGAGUCAUCAAAAGAAAAGUCAUGGAAGAUGAGCUUUGAUGGUGCAUCGAAUGCAUUGGGGCAUGGGAUUGGAGUAGUCUUAGUAUCAUCAGAAGGGAACCAUUAUCCGUUCACUGCCAGGCUAAAUUUCUUCUGCACCAAUAACAUAGCGGAAUAUGAGGCCUGUAUCAUGGGACUUCGUGCAGCAAUUGAAUGAAACAUAUAAACUUUAGAGGUAUACGGAGACUAAGCAUUGGUGAUUUAUCAGAUCCGUGGAGAUUGGGAAGUAAGGGAUUCAAAAUUAGUCAAAUACAGUGAUCUCGUGGCAGGGUUGAUUAAAGAAUUCAAAGAAAUAACUUUUAAUUACCUCCCACAAGAAGAAAACCAGUUAGCUGAUACCCUGGCCACUUUGGCUUCAAUGUUUAAAGCAAACAGAGAAACAGAAAUAAUGCCUCUUCAAAUGAGCAUAUAUGAAGUCCCUGCACAUUGUUUCAGCAUUGAAAAAGAGCCAGACGGGCGGCCGUGGUUUCAUGAUAUCUUAGAAUACAUCAAAAAUCAAAGGUAUCCCGAGCAAGCAAAUGAGAACGACAAAAGAAUAAUUAGAAGAAUGGCAACGAGAUUUGUUCUUGAUGGGGAUAUCCUGUAUAAAAGAGGAAAAAAUCAAGUGCUCUUGAGAUGCGUGGAUGCUGUUGAAGCUAGAAAAAUACUUGAAGAUGUCCAUGAGGGAAUCUGUGGGACACAUGCCAAUGGUUUCACUAUGGCCAGGAAGAUUAUGAGACUAGGUUGUUACUGGCUGACGAUGGAAAGCGACUGCAUUAGUUUUACAAGAAAAUGCCACAAAUGUCAAAUUUAUGGCGAUAGGAUUCAUGUAGCCCCUUCGCCCCUUCAUGUCAUGACUUCUCCGUGGCCUUUUUCUAUGUGAGGCAUGGACGUUAUAGGGCUAAUCUCCCUAAAAGCUUCUAAUGGACACCGAUUCAUUUUUGUGGUCAUUGAUUACUUCACAAAAUGAAUAGAAGCCGCUUCGCUUGCCAAUGUGACGAAGACUACAGUUUGUAGGUUUUUGAAAAAGGAAAUCAUUUGUCGAUAUGAUUUACCUGAAAGAAUCAUUUCAGAUAACGCCAUGAAUCUGAACAACAAGAUGAUGAAGGAGGUGUGUGAACAAUUCCAAAUAAAGCAUCAUAACUCAUCACCCUAUCGCCUGAAAAUAAAUGGGGCUGUUGAAGCGGCCAAUAAGAAUAUUAAGAAGAUUAUUGGGAAAAUGACUGAGACAGAUAAAGACUGGCACGAGAAGCUACCAUUUACUUUGUAUGCAUAUCGCACAUCUGUGUAGACAUCUACGGGAGCAACUCCUUUCUCUCAGGUCUAUGGAAUGGAAGCUGUGCUACCCAUCGAAGUUGAGAUCCCCUCUCUACGAGUCUUAAUGGAAUCAAAACUAGAAGAAGCAGAAUGGGUUCGAGCUUGAUAUGACCAAUUAAACCUUAUUGAAGAAAAACGUCUGAAGGCAAUCUUCCAUGGACAGAUGUACCAGAAAAGAAUGAUCGCAGCCCAUGAUAAGAAAGUACGGCCAAGAGAAUUCCACGAAGGAGAACUCGUGCUGAGAAAGAUUCUCCCAAUACAAAAAGACUUCCGAGAAAAAUGGGCACCAAAUUGGGAAGGUCCAUCCAUCGUAAAGAAGGCAUUCUCGGGCGGAGCUUUGAUUCUCACCGAGAUGGAUGGGAAGGAGUUACCGAAUCCAGUGAACUCAGAUGCUGUAAAGAAAUAUUAUGCUUGAAAAAGAAAACCAAGAUGAAAACCCGAAAAGGACAUCUUUUAAAAAAAAGAGAAAAAGAAAAAAGAAAAAAAGAAAAAGAGGGAUCAAGGUGAAAACCCGAAAAUGGCGUCUUGAUUAAACACAAAAGAUUAGGAUGAAAACCCGAAAGGGCAUUCUAUUGAAGCAAACCCGGGCUUAAAGAACAAGGCGUUUCGAACGGUGGGUCAAACAACGAGACUACAGUAUUUGAAGCAUUUAUGAAAGCUCAAAAUCUUCUAUGCAAGAAGCCAUGCUCGAAAAGAUUCUAGAUGAAAGAACGUGGAAUAGUUCAUGUGUUGAAUAUCUAGAACAUUUGUAUCCGUUGAAUGCGAUCCCUUUUCUCUUUAUGACACUUUUUACUAUCAUUGAUUAACUUUCUUUGUUUGCUACAUUUGAAUUAAAUAAAUGUGGGGUAGCCUUUUUGCCCCUACCUAACCAUUUUCAUGCAUCUCAUUAUGUGUUUAUUUACAUGAUAAAUAGUGAAAUGACAUACUCUAAACAAAAGAAAUGUUAAGCAUUACCUGAAUAAAAAUUUGACAAAUACAAGAGCCUCAAAGCAAGGACAAAGUUCGACCAGGGACAAAAGAGUGAUAUCUGAGAAACACAGAUUAAUCGUGAAACUUGGAGACGGGUACAAAGCCUAAAGAGAAAGUCAAGAGUCAAAGCAACGAACGCAGAUCAAAAAAAAUCGUGAUGAAAAAGGGGCAUACGACAAACAUGCCUAAGGCGCAUUGCAUAAUCAUGUAGGUAUAAAGGCAUUUAAGACAAACAUGUGCAUAUCAUGAUAACAUCGUGCAUGACAUAUACAGGUACUCUAGCAGAGCAAGAAGAUAUGAUAAUAGCUGCACUGAAUCAAAGGAAAAGACGCCUGAGUUCUACCAAAUGACAGGUUUUGGUAUUUUGAUGUUUUAAUUCAUGCUUUCAAAAAUCAACUCAUAUUGCGAGAGGUGAGUUGAGCCUUUUAAUUUCUGCUUUUAAUUUAUACUUUCCAAAAAUCAACUCAUAUUGCGAGAGGUGAGUUGAGCCUCGGGGCACGCUGAGGUAUUUUCAAUUUCUGUUUUCAGUUUUUGUUUUUCAAAAAAUCAACUCAUAUUGCGAGAGGUGAGUUGAACCUUUUAAUUUCUGUUUUUUUUAAAAUCAACUCAUAUUGCGAAAGGUGAGUUGAGCCUCGGGGCACGCUGAGGUAUUUUCAACUUCUGUUUUCAGUUUCUGUUUUUCAAAAAAUCAACUCAUAUUGCGAGAGGUGAGUUGAACCUUUUAAUUUCUGUUUUUUAAAAAUCAACUCAUAUUGCGAGAGGUGAGUUGAGCCUCGGGGCACGCUGAGGUAUUUUCAAUUUCUAUUUUCAGUUUCUGUUUUUCAUAAAAUCAACUCAUAUUGCGAGAGGUGAGUUGAACUUUUUAUGUAACGCCCCAAUUUUCGGGAAUUCUGUGAAUGUUGGCAUAGGUUUAAUUAUGUUAGUGGGCCUCUAGAAGGCCCAAGCUUAAGAUAGAACCCAGCAAUUUUAGUUAAUUUUUGUUCCAUAAGAAAAAAAGGGGGUGAAAUUAUGAAAUAGGACCUAUGUGAAAAAUGUUUGAAAAUGAUAUAGGCUAAAUUGAAGUGGCCAAAUAAAUAGGAGUGCAAAAUAGGAGGAUUUGCAUGACAAACCUCCCAUUUUACAUGAAGUGGCCAGCCAUCAUGUUGCUGUAGACAAUAUGAGCACUUGAUAUCCAUAAUUCAUGGUACAAAUUGAUAAUGGGUUAGGUAAAUGUUCCAUGAUAAUGGGUUAGGUAAAUAUUCCAUGAUAAUGGGUUAGGUAAAUGUUCCAUGAUAAUGGUUUAGGUAAAUGUUCCAUGAUGGGCAUUUCAUGUCUUUUGUAUUAAAGAAUUAAAUGGAUGAAAUAUGAAAUUUUAUUAAAAGAAAAAGGGGUGAAAAGAACAAAGUUUUGUCCAUCUUUGUUCAUCAUAGCCGAAAGUUAGAGAAGAGAAAGGAGAGGAGAAAGCUUUUGAGUAUUCGGUCAUUAGGAGGAGGAAAAUUGAAGGUAAGUUCUUGGUACCUUGCUUCUAUCUUGAUGUUCAUGAGUUCUUCUUGAUUCUACCUUAACUCCUGAAGCAUAUUUUGGUUUUUAGUUGUGUUUUGAGCAUUUAGUCAUGAAUUAAAAUGAAGGAAAUGGUUGUUGUUUCAUGUUCUUUUGAUGAAAAAUAGAAGAUAGGUGAAGUUGAGCCAAACAAAUGAGCAUGCAUGUGCCUUAGAUGCUAAGGGGAAAAAUCGGCUAACAUGUUGUGCUUUAAAAUGAUGAAAUGGAGAUUAUACUUAAGUAAAAUCAUAGAUAUGUGAUGAUUGAUUGGUGAUAUACAUGUUUAAAUAACAAGCAUGCAAGUUAGGUGUGAAAGAGUGAUUUGGUAAUAAAUCUGCUUGGGACAGCAGCAGUAACGUGACUUUGGAAAAUCACCAUAAAUUGUGGGAGAUGAGUUAGAAGCUGCAUAAGUUAUGUAAUUAAAGCUUAAUGAGUCUAGUUUCAAAUAGAAUAAAUGAGAACAUAUUUUGAAUUCUGUACAAUGAGAAAUUUGAUUCGUAAUGAAGAGUGGUUAGAUUAGUCAAACAGUGAAACAUGGGAAACUUUAAGAAAAAUCUGGUAUUGAUUGGCGAAACCAAAAAUUCUGAAAAUUUUAUGGAUAGAAGAUAUAUGAGUCUAUUUUCAGGGAAAAUUAACGACACUUGAUUUGCAGUUUCAUAGCUCCAGUUAUAAAUGAUUUAGUGACUGUUGCUCAGGAAAACAGCUUGCAGUGAAAUUAUGAUUAUGUGGUAAACAUUGACAAAAAAUUGUUAAUGAGUUGCUUAUUGAUUUCUUAUAAGCUUACUAUGAUCUGUAGGUGUGGUUGGCCGAAUAUUGUAAGGGGUUAAUACGUAGUUUGUAUUUGAAUAGUUAGAUUAACGUGUUAGUAGUCCAAUUGUAGGCGGUUCGCGUGUGGAUCUCGUCAGCAUAUCGUCGCAAACAGGUGUGUAACUAACACCCUCUUUCUUAGUCUAGAUCGGCAAAAGUCGAAAUGUCGAAAUGCCGAAAAUUGGUAUUUUGUAGAUUUGUGAGUGUGCGAAUGCUCGAGAGGUAAAUCGAUUAAUGUUUUUGGUAAGCUGCAAUGUUUGGACUGCAAAGUGCAUGAUUUCUGUGCCCUCGAUAUUUUUGGGCUUAAUGGGCCAAAAUUGUAAUGAUGGGCCAACGGGCCCAAUUCGGUAAGAACCCUCGGUAGUGAUUCUGUUAGUACGUGAAAGGUAGGAAUAUGCAUGAAAAACCCUAAAAUAGAUAAAAUACUGAAAUACCUUUAAAAGUGGAAAAUUUACAGUUUUACCCCUAGGAGAUAAAUUAUCGAAAUACCCCUAGGGUUAAAUUGACCUAAAUGCAUGUUUGACUGUUGUUAUUUACUGCAUGCCAUGUUGUUAUUAUCUGAUGCAUGGGAUUGGGAUAUUGACGGAGGAAGUACUGAAAGUGGCUUGUCCAUGUAUUGGAGGCUUUGCUUCAAUUUACUGUUAACUGAGCAGCAAGGCUGCAACUGUGGAGUGUUGGGCUGGGUGGGUUGAGCUAUUCCUCACAUGGAGUGUAUAGCUGGUACGGGUGGAGUGUAGUGGUUGGUGGGUUGAGUAGUCUCCCCAAAUGGGCUUGCAUAUGUUUAUUGAUGUUGCAUGUAUUUUGAAAUGGGCCUAUGGGCCAUACUGUUAUCUUAAUAAGGGGCUAAGGCCCAGUUUAUUGUAAUCUGAAAAGGGCUCUGGCCCAGUACCACUAUUACCUGAAUGGGCUUAGACCCAAUGGGCUUGAGCUGACUUGGGCUUUGAAUGGGUUUUCCUUACACACUGAGUUUCCCCAAACUCACCCCUUCUUUAACCUUGCAGGUGAGCCUUGAUGUGGGUGACUUGGAGCCGGAAGGGAUUCAAAGUGGCCAUGGUGAAUACUUUUGGGUUGGAAAAAGAGACUGGUUUUCUUAAGUUAUUUUUAAUUACUAUUUAAUUUUUGGGUUGUAAUAAGGCCAUUUUAACUUUAUUUUCUUCUUUGAUUUUCUGGGAUUAUAUUAUUUUAAACAACUUUAAAUUGAUGGAUACUAAUUCAAAUGGGCUAGACUUAGGGCGUGAUUUCAAAACGAUACUUGUUUUUUUUAAAUAACACGACGUCACGAAUAUUCGAUUUACCAAAGAUAAUCACUCAAAGAAAUUUCAACUUGUUAUAACCAAGUGUGGCAAUGGAUGUGGGCAUGUCUAGGAUUGGAUCCAAUCAGAGAGCUUGGUACUUAAGCAGCCUUCAUGGCUCACAUCCUCUGUUAUGGAUACCUACCUGGUGUCCAGCUUCCAUUCACUUAGUUAGUUUGACAAAAGUCGGCUUUUUAAAACACUAAAAAGGGAACGCGGGUUUUUGACUUCAAAGUGGCACGUCGGAUUCGGCCUUAACGUCUGGGCUGGGUUUGGGGUGCUACAUUUUAAUUUCUAUUUUUUAAAAAUCAACUCAUAUUGUGAGAGGUGAGUUGAGCCUCGGGCAUGCUGAGGUAUUUUCAAUUCCUGUUUUCAGUUUCUGUUUUUUUAAAAAAUCAACUCAUAUUGCGAGAGGUGAGUUGAACCUUUUAAUUUCUGUUUUUCAAAAAUCAACUCAUAUUGCGAGAGGUGAGUUGAGCCUUGGCCAUGCUGAGGUAUUUCCAAUUUCUGUUUUAAUUCAUGUUUUCAAAAAUCAACUCAUAUUGCGAGAGGUGAGUUGAGCCUUUUAAUUUCUGUUUUUCAAAAAAAUCAACUCAUAUUGCGAGAGGUGAGUUGAGCCUUUUAAUUUCUAUUUUUCAAAAUCUACUUUUCAAACUAAGUUUCAAAAAGACCAAUUCAUAUUGCGAGAGGUGAGUUGAGCGUGGGCUCACGUGAUGAGCUAUUUUCAGUUUCUGUUUUUUAGUUUAUGUUAUUUAAAGAGUCAAUACAUAUUGUGAGAAAUGAGUUGAGCUCAAGAUCAUAUGCCGAGUAAAGAAUAAAGAUUGAAGCCGGUGGAAGACGUCAGAUUAAGACUCCCUGAAGUUGCAGUGGAGCAGGUCAAAGUUGCAAGUCUUGUUUCUCUGAAGUUGCAGUGGAGCUGAUCAAGGGUAUCGGAUCUUGCCUUUCCAAAGUUAUAGAAGAGAAGACCACAAACCUCAUCUCACUGAAGUGAUAGAAGAGCAGAUUGAAGCUGUAAAUCUUAUCUUUAUGAAGUUACAAUGAAGCAGAUCAAAGCCACAAAUCUCAUAUUCUUGAAGUUACAUUGAAGUAGAUUGAAGCUACAAGGCAUAUAUCAGAAGAUGCAAUGGACCAAAGCCACAAGACACGAUGGACUGGAAGGAGACUACCUGAACAAGAAGAGCACCAAAGAAGUCAAGACUCAGCAAGAUCAGGAAAAAUUGGCCUUUCAUUAUGUCUUUGCUAUAUUCUCGUUACACGACAAUAAGCAAAGAGGGACAGCUGUUACAGACCAAUUUUACCCACAAGCCCAAUUGAACUCACAACCCAAUACAUUACCUAAAUCCCUUAACCUAUUCCUAAAUACUAACCCAAACCCCAAAUACAUUUUAAACCCAUCAGCCCGCUUAUAUCAAACCCAAUACAAUAAACCCAAAACCCAAUAACCCUUAGCCCAAUCAGAAAAGAACAAACCCUAGCUCCCACUUGCCCCCUCACUCAGCGCCGUAACUACCCUCCCCACCUUCUGACACUACGUCACCGACGUCAGCCCACCGGCCACCAACUCUGCAGCACCGUUCAACCACCCUGCAAGCAGAACGACAAGACAUAAAUUAUAAAGAAACUUUACAGAGGGUUAUAAAAAAACCGAAUGAAAAUUGUAAUAGGGGGAAUUUUGCUAUCAAUACAAAAAGGGGAUUUUUUGUUUUCAUCAAUACUAGCAGAUUAAAACCAAAAACAGUGGUCUCAAUAAGAUAAAAGUAAGAAAAUAGCAUUGAGCACAAACCCAAAAUCUCAGAAAACUGAAACUGAAAGCUAAAGGUAACUUCUUUUCUUUUUUUCUUUUUAGCCGAAUCCUCCAUCUAUAUUCGUAUACACAUAAAUAUAUAAUAAAUAAGAAAGGAACACUUCUUAAAAAGGUAAAAAAGGGGAAGUUUUCAUACCUCCGACCACCGUGCAUGGCGGUCGCCGGCGACGGAAGCGCGAUGGGGCGAUGACCGGACUAGGACCGGCGCUGGAGCCCCAAUAGAGAAAAAAAUGAGCUCCAUUUUCUUUUUUUUUCUUCAACACGCACAAAUGACUGAUUUUUCAAAAAAAAUUAACUUUUAUAGGGGUCCGGAACGGCGUCGUUUUAGGCCCUGCACUUGAGCAGUGAAACGACGUCGUUUCACUUGGCCCGACUCGAUUCGACCCGAACCCGCUUCAGGAUUAGCGUGUUUUUAACUCAGGGGGCUAUUUGCGCAAUCGAUCCUCCCGCAUUUUUGGUAUUUUAAAUCAGGUUAUAUGUAUUUAUAAAUUGGCCUUAAAAUUUAAUCUGGUUUGUAAAUUAAUCCCUCCUACUGCAUAGCGUUUUGAAAAAUUCGUAAUAUUACGUUUUUGAUCCUCCUUGGUGUUGCCCGUGUUCAAAUAGGCCCUUUCUCAUUAUUUUCUUUUUAAAUCUGCCCCACAACUUUAUUUUUAAUUUAAUUUUUGUCCUUUUUUCGUUUAUUUUCAUUUCUUCGUUAAAUAUUCUUGUUUUUUUAUAUACUAUUAUUAUUAUUAUUAUUAUGAUAUGUUAGUGUAUAUUUUUAUUAUAUGCGUAUAUAUACAUGUAUUUGUAUUUAGUAUUUUUUUAUCCACUUUAUUGUAAUAUUUUAUUAAUGCUUUUAUAUUUCAAUAUUAUUAUUAUUAUCAUUAUUAUUAUCAAUAUUUGUAUAUGGUUUUAGUAUAUAGGUAUAUAUAUAUUUUUACGUACAGGUUAAUUUUUAUUAUUUUAUUUCAAUAUCUUUUUUUUGUAUUUGUUGUCGUAUUUCAAUAUUACCCUUAUUAUUAUUAUUAUUAUUAUAUAAUGUGUAUUUUUGUUUAUGUAUAUAGAUUUAUAUAUGUAUUAUUCUUACUAUAUUGUAUUGUCAUUUUUUUGUAUUUUAAUACUAUUACUAUUAUAAUUAUUUUUGUUAAUAUAGUGAAUGGUUUUUGUCAUAUGUGUAUAUAUUUUUAUGUCAUCCUUGUUAUUAUCAUUAACCUUAGUAUAUGUCUUAUUAUAUAUCUUUAAUAUAUAUAAGUACACAUUCAUGCAAUAUUGUAAUAGUUUUCUUCAACGUCAUUAUUUCCAAUAUAUAUAUGUUAUGUAAAUAUUUUAGUAUCGUAUUAUAUAUGUAUUUUUUUAUGUAUUGCGUGUGCGUACUUUUAAUAUUGUAUUUCUACAUUUCAUACGAAUACUAUAUUACAUUUUUACAUAUUAUAUCAUGUAUAUAUAUUUUUUAUAUAUAUUAUGUACAUACGUUUUCAAUAUUCAUUUUAUACAUAUAUAUGUAUAUAUUAUGUAUAUACUUUAACAUUACUAGUUACUUAUAUAUGUUUUUAUCACUUCAUGUAUAUUUCAAAUAGUAUAUAUAGUAUAUUUCUAACAUUAUUACUAAUUAUAUUUAUAUAUGUAUAAGUAUAUAUUAUGUACAUACUCUUAAUGUCAUUUUACAUAUGUAUAUUCAUCGUGUUCUCGUAUUUGAUAUUAUAAUUAUAUUUAAUCUUGCAUGCAUUGUUAGAGUUUUUAAUAUUAUUGUCUUAUUUGUUAUUUGCUCCAAUAUAUUUCUAGUUCUUCCAUUUAUUUUUUUAUUUCAUCUCAAUUUUGCUUUGCAUUACUUCGAAGAUCAUAUUCUUGUUUCCUAAUUAAUAAUCAAGGUAACGAACCGAUUUAACACAAAGUCACUGAUUUCAUCGCUAUGUUGGGUGAACAUCAAUCGAUUCGUGUUAAAACGGUACGUCCUUCUCAAAAAAAAAAUCAAAAAGAUUGAAAAUUCUUGUCUUUUCAAACGGUCACGAUUAAAUCUUAUAUUGAACUCGUAUUUUUCAAAAUCAAGACAACACGUGUUUACAAGAUACCAAUUUUGGGCGUCGCGAGGGUGCUAAUACCUUCCUCGCGCGUAACCGACUCCCGAACCCUAAUUUUCUCUGGAUUUUAACGUAGACCUAAACUCAGCCUUUGAUUUGUUUUGAUAGGAGAUCUAAUAGGUGUCCGAUCACACCAAGGAAAAAGGAUCGGUGGUGACUCCCUGUUUAUUUCAAAAAAUCAAACGUCAAAUUUCAAAUUUUUAAUAAAUCGCCACAAUUAGCGACCAAGCUAAGCCAAAAUUUUUACGUCGUUACACAAAAAUAUAUUCCCAGUAAUAAUAAUUACAUUUUACUUUUUUGAUAAAGAGAAUUUAAGUUUAAAUCUUAGAGACGACAUUAUAUAGAGUAGUCACGAAUCUCAAAAAGAUCAAUUUUAUGACCUAUAAAAUGAAUAUAAAUGAUACAUUGCAUGUACGAGAAAAUAUAUAUUUCAAAACAUAUAUAUUGUAUUAAAAUAUUAAUCAAAAUAAAAUAUUUGCAUUAGAAUCGUUAAGCCCAAGAUACUUAAGUGCCCAUCUUUUGACGAGUUAAAUUACUAUUUGGGUUUUAAACUUGAAAAUUAUUCUCAUAUUGAGACUUGAACAUCUUUUUUUGUCCAAGUUAGAUCUUGAACAUGGCAAUUGUUCCCACAUUGAGGCCUGAAUUUUAUAGUUUUCAAGGAAAUAUAAGGGACUAACUUGGAAAAAAUAAAUUCAAGCCCCAAUGUAGGGACAAUUUCCAAGUUUAGGACCUAACUUGAAUAAAAAAAAAGUUCAUUCCCCAUUAUGAGAACAAUUGCCAAGUUCAAUGCCUAACUUGGAACAAAAAAAGUUUAAACCCUAAUGUAAUAAUAAUUGAUAGGUUCAGAUCUCAAAAAAUAAUUUAACCUUCUUUUGACAUAUAAAAUUCAAAAGCUCACUAAAUGAGAUUAAACAUGUUCAAGGGUCGAGUUACUUGUUCAGGCUCGAAGGCCCGCCUGAAUUUUAGGAGGGUUUGGGUAAAAAUAUUACGCCCGUUUAAAAUAUGAGUUAGGCUCAAGCUUGAACAUUCAAGGCCCGAUCCUAGCCUGACCCAUUUUUAAGUUUAUAAUACUUUAUAUUAUGUUAUAUUUAUAUAUUAUGUAAUUUAUAACACAUUAAAAAAAUAAAACUAUACUACAUAUAUAAUGCUAUAUUUAUGAAUUUUAGGAGGGUUUGGGUAAAAAUAUUACGCCCGUUUAAAAUAUGAGUUAGGCUCAAGCUUGAACAUUCAAGGCCCGAUUCUGGCCUGACCCAUUUUUAAGUUUAUAAUACUUUAUAUUAUGUUAUAUUUAUAUAUUAUGUAAUUCAUAACACAUUAAAAAAAUAAAACUAUACUAAAUAUAUAAUGCUACUCCAAUGCAAACAUUAAAAUAAUGAUGAGUAUAUAAAAAAUUUGAUAAAUAAAAAUAUAAAGUUAUUAAAUAUUAAAUUAAAAUAAUAUAAACAUUUAUAAAAAUUAAAAUAAUAUGGGUGGACUUGGGCAAAGUUUUAGGCCUAUAUUUCAGGCCAGAUCGGGCUUGGCAAACAUAAAGUAUAUUAAUAUUAUGCUUAGGCUCGGCCGGAACCUGACCCAGCUCGAUCCAUGAGUACCUCUAAAUGAGAUUAAUUGAAUAAGCAUAUCCCUUAUCUUAUUUAUUUAGGGUUAAUAUACUAUUUGCCCCCGAAACUUGCACCCAAUUAUCACUUUGGUACUUAAAGAAUUUUUGUAUCAGUUUGAUAUUUGAAGUUUCCAAUCUAUCAUCAAAUUUCCUUAACUGUUAGCAUCGUUUUUUUUUCCAUUUUAAAAAAAAUAUUUCAAGAAAAUAAAUUCUAGGAGAUGUCACUUUUUUUUAACGAUGUUAACGAUUGGGGUAAAUUGAUAAUGAGGUGGAAAUGGAAGCUUCAGGUACCAAGCUAAUAGAAAAAAUUAUUUAAGUACCGAAAUGAUAAUUAGGUGCAAUUUUGGAAGUAAAUAAUAUAUUAAUCCAUUUAGUUAUUCAUAGAAAAUAUAUUAUUUUAUAUUGAAUUUUUCUAAAUAAUUACAUUAUAAACUAUUAAUACCUCUGCUUAGUGUGAACCGUUAUUGGUUCCACCAAGCUAAGGUCUUGUCAGCCAAAAUAAAGGACAAUGGGCUCUACGGUCUAAUAUAAUGCCCUCGAACCGCCAUUGAUAUGCAGGUGUUACCUACAGAGCCUAGUGCUACCCUCUAUCAAGCUUAAGCUACCAAGGCUUCCAAUAAUACCUAUGCUUUAGCGCCUAAUGUUUAAUAGUAGUAUCUUGACUAUUGCUCGGAGGCUCAAUUUUAAUGGCAGAUUCUCUUUGGUCAGCAAUACUAGACCUUUUAAGUUAAUAUCAUCUAAUAUCUAACAACCAUUCCCCACAAUUCUUCAUGUUUAUCCUCAUCAAAAACUUGGGUGGUCUUCAGUAAGAUGUAAAACAAUGAGUAAUCUUUAAGUUUUUUGAGUUUUCUUGCUUUUUACUUGUUUCGUUUAGUUGCAUGCAGUUUCAAUGCCUUGAAGAAUUCAAACUUUGAGGGUUUAAGUUGACUUAAACAAUUUGAAGUAAAAUUUUCAUCUAAAGUCACACAGUUUACUUGAUUAAAGUUUAAGUCCAUAGGCUCAAGCUCAUGAAACUUUUGGAAAGUUGUGAAUUAAACUCUUCACUGUUAAUUUUAUUUAUUAUUUAUUUUCUUAAUUAAAAAUUAAUAAAUUGACCAUAAUAGCUUCCAUAUAUAAUAUAUUACAUUCGAUUAUAUUUUAUAAAAUGUAAAAUAUGAAGUAUUAGAUAUAAAUAAAUUAUUAUUUUUUUGACAUUUUUUAUUAAUGAAAACUUAAUGAUUUAAAUAUAUAAAGUAAUUCAAUAUAAAAUUCAAUAAUUUAUUUAUUAUAUUAACUCAUUUAAUAAAAGUCCUUUAAUAAAAUCAUAAUUUUUAUUUAUAAGUAUAAUAAAAUUUCUUAUCAUGUAAAAUAUAUUUAAUCAAAUAUAAUAGUAAAAAGAAAAUUCUUACUUAUAAAUAUGAUAAAUCAAAAUAUCUAUAGUUCCAAAUUCAUUAAUAUAAUAAAUAAAAAGAUUAUAUUAAUUAGUUCAAAAAAGUUGUUUAACCCAUAAUUCUAUAUAUUUAUUAUAGAUUAUAGAAAAUCAACCUUUAACAUACAUAUUGGUCUUCUUUCAUAAUUGUUGAUACGUAUGUUGAGAGGACCACAGUUGAAAGACUUAAAAUUGAACAAUAAAGUCUAGUCGCCUGGCCCGGACCAAAACAAGGGGUAAGAAGAAGAUUCAUGGAAAAGACUUUAGAUUGUAGGACAAACACAUUAUUCUUUUCUCUUAAUAUUUAACCCUAUAGAAUGAAUUAAAAAUGUAUAAAAACUAUAUAAUUAUUAUAAAAUAAUCGUUAUAUAAAAGAAAGUGAAAGACUUCAGAUUGUAGGACAAAGUCUAGCUGGCAGCACCCAUAUCAAUAAAUGGGUAAGACAAUAAUACGUAUGAAGAGUUUGAGCAGCCAUUUUUGAAUUAAGAAAUGGGCAAAAAGUCAUGUAAGUUAAUGAAUGGAUACGUUUCCAAACAGGACCCAUCUCAUUUAUUCUUGGAAAGGAAAUGUGAUAUAGUUAUGCAUGUUGUAGUAUUGUUUAUAGAUUUAAAUUUUAGUCUAAUUAAUUAAGUUUCUCUCCAGUUAAUUAGACUGUUACAUUUAAGUGCCAGAAUAUGUAAAUCUUAUUGUUAUUCAACUAAUUACAACUUUGAUCUUUGUCAAAGAUAAAUUUCUAAAGUGAUGUGUAUGUGUUAGUGAAAGUGAUCACUUUCGUAGAAAUUGCUUUAUUUGUUAGCAUGUUUGAUAAAAAAAUUUUGAUUAUUUGCUUGCAUCUUUUUGAUUAUAUUAUAUAAUUAAUCUUGUGUUUAUUACUGAAGAAGAGAUUGAAUCAAGCAAGAUUACUUUCCAAGGAUUUUUAUAUAAUCUACUUACCUUAUAUACUAAGAUAUGCAAUCUAAAAAGAUGUAGACUGGUUUUAAUUAUGACCUUUUUGUAUCCUUAUAUUAAGGAUAAUUGAUUUAAUGAGAUUUGGGUAAGUAAUUUGGAUUAAAGAUUGUUUUGUGAAGAUAGAUUCGUGCUUUAAAUGUGGAAAACUUAUCAAUCAUGGUAAAUGUUUUAUAGUUGAGGCAAGUGUUUUUGAAGUGGCUGCCAAAGUGCUAGUGGAAGUGGCCACUUCGCCAAGCACCUUGAUAGAGAUGUACUUGUCUUUUUUAGAAUUAGAAAUCUUUUAGACGUUAUUUUUGUUGUUUCAUGACUAUCAAUUGCUUGUUUUAGUUUAACAUGUCACACUAAAGAAUUUAAUAGAAAAAAUUUAAUUGUGGCAAAUUUGAAAAAGUAGUGGGACUAAAUGCUUGAAAAUACAAAUAAGACUAAAUUUUAAAAUGUACAAAGUAUAGGGACUUAGAUCAUAUUUUAACUUUCAAAUUAUUAUUCUAUAAUUUGAUACAAACAAAUAAUCACUUUAAUAUAAAAGGAAUGUCUAAAGCGCGUCCUUUAUGGACACAUGAAUGCACCAUGUUGUUUUCUUCUUUUUCUUUAUAUUAUAAAAAAUAAUUAAAUUAUAGUUUUGGUCUCUCUAUUGUGUUUAAAUUUGAGAUAUAAUCCUUAUACUUUAAUUUUUAACAUAAUUUUAUCUCUAUAUUUUAUAAUAUUAUUAAUUAGUCAAAAUAGUUAAUAAUAUUAACUUUUUGAUUAAAAUAUUAUUUAAUUAUAUAUAAUUUAAAAAUAAAAUUUUAAAUAAAAAAUAGAUAAAUUAAAUUAUUCAAAAUAAAAAUAAAAAGAUUAAAUUCCAAAUUCACAAACCAUAUGAAAAAUUAAAAUAUAUAAUCAAUGUCAAUAAAAUAUACUAGUAUUUAUAAAAUAUACUAGCUAUCUCGGUUGUGGCGUUGUGCAUUUCUUGGUAGCUUUGACAAACUUCUUCUCAUUGAUUCAACACCAAAACUCAAAUGGGGAAAACUUUCCUCAACUUAUCUCUUCUUAUCAUCUUCCAUUUUUUUAUUAUGGCUACUUUCUCUAUGAAAUUAACCACCAUAGUUACCGACCAAUUGGCUCUUCUUGCAUUAAAAGAACAUGUAUUCACGACCCCGAAAAUGUCUUGACAACUAACUGGUCAGCUUCUACCCAUGUUUGCAAUUGGUUUGGUGUCAGUUGUGGAUCCAAGCACCGCAGAGUUGUAGCUCUAAACUUUACUGGGUUGGGACUCGUAGGAAUCCUUCCUCCCCACUUAGGAAAUUUAUCAUUCCUUUCUCUUCUUUCCAUUUCAGAUAAUAGUUUUGGCGGUGAAUUACCUGUCCAAUUAUCCAAUUUGCGACGGUUGAAGCAUAUAAACUUUCGUAACAACAACUUUAGUGGAGAAAUCCCAUCAUGGUUGGGAUCAUUACCUGAACUUCAAAGGUUGUUUCUGUAUCAUAACAACUUCAAGGGUGCUAUUCCAUUUUCUUUAGGUAAUUUGUCAAAGCUAGAGAUGUUGUACUUGUUAGAUAACCAGCUUUCAGGUUCAAUACCUUUCUCCAUCUUCAAUAUAUCUUCGUUGCAGAAAAUAAAUCUAAGAAACAAUUAUCUCUUUGGUUCCAUACCCUCUGGUUCGCACGAUUUUCUUUCCCUAGCACUCAUAGAUUUCACCUUCAAUAAUUUCACUGGCCAUAUUCCAAGUGAUAUGUUUGAUCAUCUUCCGAAUUUGAAAAAUCUGGGCUUGAGUUAUAACAUGCUUUCUGGCAAAAUUCCAGCUAGUUUAUGCAAGUGCAAAGAGUUACAAAUUUUAUCGUUAUCAUAUAAUCAAUUUGGAGGAAACCUUCCGAUAGAAAUUGGGAAUUUGAGUAUGCUUCAAAUGCUCCUUAUUGGUGACAAUAACUUUGAAGGUAAGGUAUACCAAUUUUUUGAAGCUACCAAAGUGUUUAUACAAUUUGAGAAUAAAUUAAUAAAAUAAAAAGGAGAUAAUUUUUAAAAAAAAUCCGAUUCAGAAAAUGAAAAAAACUCAAAGAACAUUGUUAAGAGAUAUUUUAUUGUCCCUCUCAAAAUGCUAUUCGGACCUUUAUUCCUGUAGUCAUGGAGUGUGCAAUAUGAUACCUGAUAGGAUGGGGAAUAUCUUGUUAGUGCUGCUUUAUUCAAUUUCUUGCAAACUUUUUUCUGAGUGGGAGAAUUCUGAAUUUGAUGUGUGAAUUUUAUCAUUGCAGGUGAAAUUCCAGAACAAGUUGGGAAUCUAACUCUUCUUAUGAUGCUUGAUGCUGCCUACAAUAACUUAACAGGUGAAUGAGUAAAAGAUAGUUUACAUUCAAAUUAUUAUUAGUUAAUUUGUAACUUUUUUUUGUUAAUACUAACUGUUGUAUGUAUUGUAUAUAAUUUUAAGUGUUUAAUAUUUAAUCAAUUUUUUAAAUACUAUAUUUUUAAUUGUAGUAACUAAUGUAAAAUAAUAUUUCUUACUUGAAUUAUUUAAUACAAUUAAAAUAUAUUAGCUUACUAGUUAAAAUAUUUUUCAAGUUAUAUAUAAUUAAAAGAAAAGUAAUCUUUUUCUAAGAAUAAGAAAAGAAAGUAAUCUUAAACAAUAACUUAUCGUGUUAUCGUGAAACAAAAAGAAAUGUUCUUUUUUUUUUAAAAAAAAAUUCAUGUACGUACGAUUUUCUAAUUUUAUAUAGUGAAACAAUAACUUUUUUAUAUAUGAUUGUAUUUUUUUAUCAUUUUAAUAAUUAUUAAUACAUUUAUAAUUAUUAAUAAUGUUUUAUUAUUAUUACAAUUUUGAACACCUUUUACAACUUUUUAUAUUUUUAUUAAUUUAGACAUAAAUUGUCUAGAUUUCAAUAAAUCUUGAUAUUCAUUUGUCUAAAUCUAUUAUUGAUUUACAUUUUUAUUAAUUUUUAGGAUUUUAAAAUUUUUAUAUAUUUUUAUAAAUUUGAUAGCUUCUAUAUUUUUUUAAUAAUUUUAAAAAUACUUUAAAACAUGUCGAAAAUAAUUUUGAACAAAUCAUUGUCAAGAUUCAUUUGAAUAUAGACGUUUUUUUUUGUCGAAGUUCAUUUUGGUUGUUAAUGCCAAUUAAUGAUCACGUCAUCAGUUAAUAAUGCUGGACAUGUGGUGUACUCGCAUUAGUUGAAUGUGCUAAUUUCUUCUAAUAUUGUUAACUGAACAAAAAAUCACAGGGAAUUAAUAGUUGAGGUAUCAAAAUGGGACAAAAAAAAUAUUAAAUACUAAAAUAGAAAAACAUAUAUAAUUUGGGGUGAAAUAAUGAGUAAAGCCUAAAAUUAAUUACUUGAAAUACUUUAUUAUUUGUAAAAAUAUUUUGGGUUUAUAUAUAUUUUUGUUCAUUAUUUCAGGUUUAGAUUUGAUAAAAUAUAUUUCAUACAUGUUAGUGAAUUUAGUUUUUUUUAAAAAAGUUGUAAAUUGUCUUAGAAUCCAGUUCACUGAAAGCUUACUAAUAUAAACCCUUUUAUUUUCUCAUAUUUGUUUAAUAUAUUUGUUUGAUAAAUUUAUGGCAGGUACAAUACCACAUCAGAUUGGUAACCUAAAGCAUCUAAAACUCUUGAAUUUGGGAGUAAACAAUGUUGUUGGCUCUAUUCCUCCUGCAAUAUUUAAUUCCACAUUGUCGACCAUUUCUUUGGAGUUAAAUCAUCUUUCUGGCCAUCUUCCGUCAAAUAUGGGCCUUUGGCUUCCAAACUUGGAAAAUCUGUAUCUUGGAGAGAAUCAACUCCAUGGUUCAUUCUCAAAGUCUGUUUGCAAUGCCUCUCAGCUUACCAAUCUUGACGUGUCACAUAAUUACUUUUCAGGGUCCAUUCCUAACAAUUUGGGGAAUCUAAGAAAUUUAAAGAUGCUUAACUUGGAGGCUACUAAUUUAACUUCCUUAGGAAUGAGCUUUCUUUCUUCUUUGACAAACUGUAGAGGCUUGGAAUUCCUGAUUUUCAGUAAAAACCCAUUGGUUAGUGGUGAACUACCCGGUUUGGUAGGGAAUCUCUCAGGUACUCUUCAGAGGUUCUAUGCUUCUGCAUGCAGCAUCAGUGGUAUCAUCCCGAGUGAGAUUGGCAACUUAAGCCGCUUGAUAAGCAUCGAGCUAGUCGAAAAUAAAUUGACAGGAACUAUACCUACUACAAUUGGAGGAUUGAAAGAGCUGCAAAGUCUUUCUCUUGAAAACAACAAGUUAGAAGGAUCCAUUCCAUUUGAGUUAUGUCAUCUAAACAAGUUGGCCUUCUUGUUGUUGACUAAUAACAAAUUGUCUGGACCAAUACCUGCUUGCUUGGGUAAUCUCAUUUCUUUAAGGAACCUAUUUCUAGGCUCCAAUAUGUUUUCUUCCUCAAUACCUUCAAGCUGGAAAGGGCUUAACGAUCUGCUCAUCUUGAACUUGUCUUAUAAUUCUCUAAGUGGUCCACUACCAAUUGACAUGGGAAAGUGGAAGGCUUUAACUAGCAUGGAUUUGUCAAAUAAUCAAUUCUCAAGUAAUAUUCCAACCGGGGUUGCAGAUCUUAAAGAUCUCACUCAUUUUUCCUUAUCCAACAAUAGAAUCACAGGUUCUAUUCCCGAGUCAUUUGGUGACUUGUUGAGUUUGGAGUUCCUGGACUUGUCAAGAAAUAAUCUUUCCGGUGAGAUUCCCAAGUCUUUAGAGAAGCUUCGUUAUCUCAAAUAUUUCAGUGUCUCUUUCAAUAGACUUCAAGGAGAAAUUCCUAAAGGAGGAUCAUUUGGAAACUACUCAAUCGAGUCGUUUAAAGGGAACGAAGCAUUGUGUGGUGCAGCUCAACUUCAUGUUCCAAGUUGCAAAACUAGACCUCUUAGAAAUUCCAAGGUGAGAACAAAGCUUAUAAUAUUUGUAGCACUGCCAAUUGCCUCUGCAAUAUUGGUGCUUGCUUUAAUUAUCAUUAUCUUACGAAGAAGGAAGAGAAAAGACAGAUCGACAACUCAAGAAGACUCGACACCUUUAGGAACGUGGAGACGAAUUUCAUACCACGAGCUUCAUCAAGCUACAAAUGGAUUCAGUGGUAGGAGGUUGCUUGGUAAUGGGAGCUAUGGUUCUGUAUAUCAAGGGACUCUCUUAGAUGGGAUGGAAUUUGCAGUAAAGGUAUUCAAGUUAGAGUUAGAAGGAGCUUUUAAGAGUUUUGAUGUUGAAUGUGAAAUUCUUCGUAACAUUCGUCACCGAAACUUAAUCAAAAUCAUAAGUAGUUGCUCUAAUGAUCUUGAUUUCAAAGCUUUAGUGCUUGAGUUCAUGUCUAACGGGAGUCUUGAUAAAUGGUUGUAUUCCAACAAUCAUUCUCUGGACAUCCUACAGAGGUUGAACAUUAUGAUAGAUGUUGCAUCUGCAUGCAUUGGAAUAUCUCCAUCAUGGUAAUGCAACACCCUUGGUUCACUGCGAUUUAAAACCUAGCAAUGUUCUAUUAGAUGAAGAUAUGGUUGCACAUUUGAGUGAUUUUGGCAUCGCAAAACUCUUAUGUGAAGAGGACUCAAUGAUACAAACCAUGACCAUGGCAACAAUUGGGUACAUGGCACCAGGUGAUACUUUUAGUUACAACUUUUUCUUUUCCUUCACAAUUAAUGCCAGUGUAGCAUGUGGAUAAAAGAAGGGACCAUAGCAUGAAGCUUUGAUUUCCAAACCUAUUAAAUGACACCAUUUAAGGAAGCAAAUAGAUUAAAUUCGAUUUUUUAUAGCAUUCAUGCAUAACUUUUUAGAUUUUUUAUUAUUGAUAGUGUUCUUUUAAAUUCAUACACAGAAUACGGAACUGCAGGAAUUGUUUCGACAAAAGGUGAUGUGUAUAGUUUUGGUAUUCUUAUGAUGGAAACCAUCACAAGAAAAAAGCCCACAAAUGAAAUGUUUGAAGGAGAAACAAGUUUGAGGAUCGUUGGGUGGAAGAGUCAUUAUCAUCUUCGCUAAAUCAAGUUUUAGAUACCAACUCGCAGAGCAAUAUUGGGAGGAAACGUUCAGCAACCGACAAUUGUGCCUCAUCCAUUUUGCAAGUUGGCCUAGAAUGUUCAGUAGAGGCUCCAGAUGAGAGACUUGAUAUGAAAGAGACAGUUACGAAAUUAAAGAAGAUCAAAGUGAAGUUAUUAGAGGAUAUUGGACGGGUUCGUUGAAGAGGCAGUUACUAAAAAUAAACUUGUGUUUUGUUGGCUUGGUAUAUGCUUUUCAUUUAAUAAAGCCUGUUGAUCAUGCAAAUCUAAAUGUGUAAUUUAGAUAAGCUUAUAACUUAGUCCUUAGAUAGGUUUUAUUCAAUACUCAAUUUAGAAAAGCGAUAUAUUUUGAAAAAGUUAUUUAAAAACAUAAAAUCAAACACUAAUACAAUAGGACCCAAUCAUAUCAAAAGUUAAGAUUAGUAUUUGAUACACUAACAGUGUAUUUUUUAUUUCGUAAACAGCUUUAAAAAUUUUUCAUUUUCUAAAUUUUAAUUUUACAAUAUUUUACUAUACUUAAAUAAAACAUUUAUCAACCAUCUAACCUUAUUUGUUGAGUCUAAAAACUCUAAAAUUAUCAAAUAUUUUCCCUCAAUAAAAAUAUUAACUUCUAAAAUUUUAUAUAAUACAUCACAAAUACAUUAAAGGAUGCAGGUUAACUAGAGGUGCUCAUGGGCCAAGUCGAGUCUAAGCUUUAUAUUAAUAUACUUUAUGUUUACUUCAACUCGACCCAGUCUGAAAUUUGAGCUUAAAAUUUUAUCCAAUUUCGUUCAGAUUUGCAAAAGAUUAACCAAAGCCCAUUUUAAAAUCACCCAUAUUAUUUUAAUUUUUUAAAAAAAUUAAAUUAAAUUAUUUUAAUAUUUAAUAAAUUUAUACAUUUUUUAUUUCUUGAAAUUCUUUAUAUAGUCAUCUUUAAUAUUAUUUUAAUAUUUACGUUAGAGUAGUAUUAUAUAUUUAGUAUAUGUUUAUUUUUUUAAAUGUGUUCUAAAUUAACAUAAUGUAAAAUAUUAUAAACUUAAUACUUUAAACGGGCCUAAUUUUUUUGUCCAAAUUCAAUUUUUAGGCUUAAUAUUUUUUUUUAAACUUUCUCAAAUUUUUGAAUUUGGACGAAUAGUUUGACUCAUGAAUAAUUCGAUAAGUUUUUGUGGUUUUUCAUCCUCUGCCCUAAUAACUAAGGCAUUUAAUCAAAAUGCCCAUCUUGUUAACACUUGGGCCCUUUUCAGGCCACAUAUUACAAGAAGGAAUGAUAAAGGCCUUCAAGUAAUAUGGUGGAAUAUGUUUUCUGAAUUAAGUGCUUUGGGAUUAGCAUUUGAAUUAGUAUAUAAAAGGAGUUUUCUGUAUGUUCCACAAAAGUUAAACAUAAUGGUAGAUGUUAGAUCAACAUUAUAAAAUAGACCCACAGCGAUUUAAGUGAAGUAUAUGGACGCAAUUUUACGUGCUUUUGGCAUCUCAAAACUCCUAAUUCAGUGGGCUAAAGGGAAGAUAAUAGUACCUUAAUCCUAUGUAGCUUUUAUUUUUCAAUGGUGGAUUCAACUAACUUUUAGAGUAUGGAUAGUAAAAUUCAAUAUAUUAGAUACAUUUAUCAAGUAAUAAAAAUGAAUAGACAAAGUCUAAUUUACUAUUAAAGUAAAUAUCUUUAAUUAUUUUAGCAUGAGUCUAUAAUAUGGGGUAAAAUCUUGUAUGCAUCAUAAAGGUUUAGAAUUUAGGAUUUUAGAAAUUUUUAUAAAAAUCAAAAUAAAUUAUUUUAGAUUUUAGAAACUUUCAACAUUUAAAAAUAUGUAAAAAUUCAUUAAAAUGUAUAAAAAUUUAAAAAAUUUAAAACAUUUAACAUUUAUUGAAACAUAAAAAUAUAUAAUAUUAAAAAAAAUUACCGAUUUUGACUGGCAUUAACUGAUGUCAUCCAUAGAUUGAAAUUCGUUGCCAGUCAAAAUUAAUCAAUGAUGGUUCAAAUUUUUUAAACCAAAUUGACCAAUGACGAAAUUUGAUCAUCAAUUUGAAUAAAUUCUAGUUAAAGUUGAUGAAAGCGGAUACUUUUUUGAAUUUUUAUAUAUUUUUGUUUUUCUAAGUUUGGAUAAAUUUUAUCUAGAUUUUUUAAAUUCUGAAUUAUAUAUUUUUUAUUUUUUAUUUUUAUAAAAUUUCAAAUAGUUUUUCAAAAUUUAAAAUAUUAUUUAAAAUUUCAUUUUUUUAUAAUUCUUGAUUUUUAUAUAUUUUUUCAAGUUUUUAAUGUGCUUGCUAACAUAGUAGGUACAUUCAACUACGACAUUACAUGUGUAAAAACUUAAUUGAUCCGAGUCAUAUCAUUUUAUUAGUGUUACAAAAAUGGAUUUGAACAUACAAAACUUAAAUUCCAGUUACCAAUUUAAAAAACAAAAUUGGUACCAAUUUAAACAUUAAAAUUAAAUUUAUUUAUUAAAAAACUAUAUUUACUCUAUCUCUACAAUUUCACAGUACAGAACUUUGAAAAAAAAAAAAACCAAAACAAUUUAUUUGACCUUUUAAUAUUUUUAAAAAUUAAUUAAUUACUAACAUGAUAAUCUAUGUGUAUACUGCAUCAUUAAAGUUAAUAUUAAAAAUUUAAUUUUUCUAUUCAUAUUAGGGUGAUUUGAUAAAUAUACAAAUUUAAAGGUUAAAAAAUAAAAUAUUAAAUAAAUAGCUAAUAUAUAUAUAUAUAUUUGAAGUUAGAAGAGUGAAAUAAAUGGUUAUACUUAAAAAAAAUCAAUAUGAUAGAAAUUUUAGCCAAGUUAAAAAGGGCAUUGAAUCAUGAAUUUGUAUAUAAGGAUACGCAUCGCCAUGUAAUUGAUUCUUCAUAUAUAUAUAUAUUGAGUGUUUGGAAGAAGAAAGGCUAAAUUAAUUGCACAAUUAGCUAAUAGAAAAAUGUUAGUUCUUUGGGUUUUAACUCAAUGAUUGGUGCAUAAUUUUUUACUCUUUUUGAGCAAGAACCCGAACUUCCCCCCUUCACCUAAAUUACCAAAAGAAAAAAAAAAAGGUUAGGUCUUUCAUCUUAAAUCAUAUAUGAAAUGUAAAUAUGACAGCCAAAAACUUGGCUUUUACUUCCUUUAUUUGAUCAUUGAAUUAUAUGAAGAAACAGAAAAACUUUAACGUUCUCUCCAGCUAAAGGAAAAAAAACAAAAAUGAUCUUUGACCUUCAUACACAACUUGAACCUGAAAUAUUUACCAAAAGAAGUAAACAAAAUUCUUGGCAUUACAAAGGAAUUAUAAAACAAAAUGCCGGUCGAAAUGCUGCAGUUGAGUUGUAUCAACCCCAAGUUCCAUGGUAUCUCAACAAAAAUCUUUUGAAACCAGCUUAAAUUUUAAGUACUUAUUGGUUCUAAGUUUGAUAUGACUUAGCCAACAUGCCGUGAAGCAAUCUAUCACUGAAUUCAUCUAUAUAUAUGUACCUCGAAAUCUAACCGAUACUACACACUAUCUAAAGCCUUCAAUAAACCAAGAGAUCAUAGAGGUUACUUGGGAUCCCAAUAAUGGCUCGCUUAAACCUUGCUUUGCUUGCAGUUGUCUUUGUUUCGAUCUAUCAGGUACCAUCGAUGCAAUCUAGGAAUCUUUUCAAUGGUCAGAUGAAAGCAGCAGUCAUUUCCCCCAAGGAUAAUUUGGUUCCAAGUGAUGUUCCCAAGAAGCCUACAACUGAUAAAGAUAGCAUAAUGGCUGAUAAUGAAAGGCUUUUUUCUGGUCAUCUGGGUAAAAUUGAUCGAUUGUUGCAAUCAGCAGUACCAAGUCCUGGAGCUGGCCACUAGCUAGCUAGACUCAGUUGUCUCCCAACUGUAGUUGCCCUUCAAUACACAGUAUAAUAUAUACGAAUUAGCUGCCGAAAACAUAUAUAACUAGUGUGCAUGUAAGGCUUGUCUUACUCUUAUGUUGUUACCUGCAAUAAUCCAAAAUAUCUGCAAUUUUAAUUGAAAAGAAUGCUUAAAAAUGCUAAUUUGCAAUGAUAAAGUUAAUCAAUUUGUUCAUGAGAAGUAUGUUUGUCAUUGAAAUACGA
rnacentral:lncRNA from 1 species